rnacentral:lncRNA from 1 species
AAUGAAGCCAGUUUUGUGCGUGUGUAUAUGCGUAACAACAGCUCCAAAAAGUACAGGAUUCAUGUAAAUUGGCAGGCAUAAUUGCUGAAAAUGGUUAGUUAUUAGGUGAAGGGCAAGAGAGUCAUCUAAAGGGGACAAGUUCUAAUUAUUAGAAACUUUUCAACCACAAGUUAGCAACUUUUUAAUGGUGAGAUUUUGUAGAAAAAAAGUAAAGGGGCUAUUUUGGCUAGUGAUCUGUCCAAAUCUUUUAUUUAUUUAUUUUUCUACUUCAGAUCACAAUUCAUCAGCUAUUUAAAGCCAAUUGACUAGAGUUUUAACUCCCCCACUUAGCAUAAAUAAGAGCCUCAUUGGAUAUUUGAUAUAAAUUUAAGAAAUUGACAGGCAUGGAAGUGCUUUGGCAAGAAGGCCCUCAUGGCUCUUAGAAAAAAGCAUCAAGUUCAUGGAGAGGGAUAUAUUCUGACGACCCUCCUCCAAAAUUCAACAGUUUGUCUGUGCUUCACUCUUUUAGCUCUCUGUUAGCAACUGAAGCAGCAGUAGCAUUAAAAUCUACCAGAGGCUUUUGGCUAAUGCAUGGCAAACCGGCAAGUCACGAAACGGCAAUGGGCUCGGCUAUUGAAUCUUGUUAUGGCUUUUUUUACUUUUUCUCUGGUUUGAAGUAUGACUGUAGUUCUUGCAUGAGUAUGGAAUAAAAAAGUUGUGUUAGUGUGUGUUAUGUAUAAGCUGCAGAAGAUCAGCAAGUUGAUUUGUUUAACUGACGAGUUUCUGCAAAUCAAGUUGAUAAUAAGAUGGUGAUCUGAUCACCUUUUCCUGCUCAUUUCUGUCACUCUCUAUUAUAUUUGUGUAUGUAUGCGCCUGAAGGCGCGCGUAUGGAUGGUUGAUGGUUCCACGUGUUUUUGGGUUUUGAAAUAAGGUAAAUUAAUGCUGAAUUUAUCGUCAGUUGGGGGCAUUAGCCCACGAUCCACAUGAUUUUGACUGGGAAAGGUCCAAAGGAUCUAAGAAAUUUUUAGACUUCCAGCUCCAGAUAUUGGGGUGGAGCUGCUGUGGGACGUACAUAGGAAGAUUUUUACAAUUUUGUGUUCUUCGCAGGCUGCUGCUAUGCUGUCUGCAAGGAGCAAGAAUACAUUCAUUUUGAAACAAGCAAAACAUUGUGCAUGCUAGAGCAGUACAGUGCAAGCAAUUUACUUAUUUUUUCGCUAUUACACAUAUUAACGAUUGCAUAACUGCAAUUUUAGCAUUAUCCUGAGCCUCCAACCUUGCUUUCAGCUAAUUCUAGUAGACCUAAAUAUUUUUAGCUCAAAAUGGAAUUGCAACUUGAGAAAACAGCCAAGAAUCUCCGGUCACUAUUCAAUCAAACAAAUGGGAAACUUCACACUUUUCUUCUGUAAUAGGAAGUGUACAUAUACAUAGUUGAUUUCUAGCUCUACAUCUGCCUGUUUUGCACAAACUCAACGUAGUACUAUUCUGAUCGUAGCUGAACAACUCAGAAAUCAGGUGAAUAGCCUGGGAAAAUAAAGACAAUAACAAGUCAAUUGUCUACAGAUCUCGUCAGCUUUUCCAAGAUUCCCUUCCAGUCUUCAAAAGUGAAACAUAUAACAAUUCAUUCCAAGUAUCUGGCACUCCAGGUAAACACCAGUGACUGCAGUCUUGAGCAUUUACAGCUGCAAUUCGUUCCUGAUCAUUUUUGUAUUCCAUCCGGUAUAUAGAAGGAUGUCCAUCUUUUCUGAAAUCUGUAAGCCUACUGAUAUUGAGAUAUACUACCGGAGUUUUCAUUUCUGGAAGCAUGUACUCCAGAGCUCUCAUUUUUGAAGGGUACUUUGCUAAGUAAGUUACAUUGAAGAUUGGCUCAGUUUCUUUGUGACACUGCCCUCCUGAGUUCCACUGCCCUCCUCUGUGAUCACAUCAAACACUCACAGUUAGUUAUCCGAAAUGGACUAGGAAAUAAGAGAAUGCCCCCUAUGACUAAUCUGUUUACAUAUACAUGACUCUUUCAAUGAAAAACAGAAGACAUAAUGAUGAUGUAUACAAAUUGUGUUAUGCUCAAGAUUUACAAAUUCCUUUUGUUAAACAGAACAUAUCAAAGAAAUCAUUGCAGCAUCAACUUAGCUCCAUUUCUUUUUUCUUUUUAAUGCCAAAUUUAAGUACAUCAAAGGUCUCAUUGCAGCAAGAAAUGCCAAGAUUCAGGGAACUACAUGUGUAUGGCAUUGAAGAAACCACUCAAUUUUAAGUGAGUGAUUACUUUAGGGAAAACUGCAUGAUAGCCACAAUUGAUUGUUUAUUCAACAGUGAGAUCCUGUGUGGAAUCCGCAGGGACGAAAGGCAAGCUCAUAGAGAUUAGUUUCCAAUUUAGAUUAUCUUAAACAUUUUACAGAACUGACACAUCUAAGAAGAAAAAAGCAUCGGAAAGUACACACAGUGUUCUUAAAAUGAGAAGAAGGUGCCACAAGCGCAACAAAGCAAAAUGAGAAGAAAGUGCCAUACUUAAAAUGGGUGACGGAAUAUCCUCUGAAGAAAACCUUAGUUCGGUUGUGAUCUACAUUCUUGUCAACCCAUCUAGCCCAAGUGGUGAGGGCCCUCUUAUAAGCUUCUAGCACUUUUAGUCUUGGGUGCACAAAGUUUCCUUCUUGGUAAUAGUCUUCUCUGCAAGGCCACAAAAUGCCAAAAAGGAAGAGGAGAAGGAAAGAGAUUGAGUUAUUCGAUUAGCAGGGCAUAUUGUCAAAUGAAAGAAAAACAUGACAUGCAGAAAAUUCUGAAGAAAGGUAAACACAACUUUCAUUUCCAUCUCAAUCAUUUUCUUUCAAACAACAGCAUUAUUUAACUCAAUCCAUGGGCUCAACAUUAUGUAAUACCAGAAUGCAAAGUGAAGAUAUUAUGAAAGCAAGCAGUGCGAUAGUCUGAAGGCACUCACCCUCUAGAAGUUUUCUCGUGUGUCCACCAAUGACCUGUAUUGAAGAUGAUGACAUCAGCAUCCUGAUACAUCGAGGUCGUACGGUCCAUCAAAUCCAGUCUUAAUGUCUCAAAUGUUCCAUUUCUGCCAGUAAAAGACGAUUCUCUAACGAGAAAUGGAGAACUAACAAAGUCCACAGUACAAUUGUAGUCCUACAAUAACAUGAAAAUUGCUGUUCGAGAGAUGCAUAUUAAAAAAAUAAAAAAAGGAAAAUUCUUCUAACCAUAAAUGAAGGACUCUCCUGAAACUCGCCUCAAAUAUGAAAGCAUAAAAACCUUUCUUUUUAAAUUCCCUCCUUCCGGAUAUCUCAUAGACUCUUUUCUUGUUUCUGAUGCUAUUGCGGAGGAUGCACACCAGAGAUUCCCACAUGUUCCGAUUCAGCGAAUCUCCCACAAAAACCAAUUUCUUGCCUCUCAAUCUCUCCAAAAAAUCAGUUGCAUUCAAACUGGAUAAGAAAUGACAAAUAGUUAAAAUUCGGAUAUGUAUUCUUUUAAAAAAAAAAAAAAAACUCAAACCACAAGGUAUCACAAAAAGAGGCUGGCAUAUAAUAGAAUCAUCGUAUAUACAAACCCUUUAUUAUGAUUAAACAUGGAGAUAAAAUCAUAAUCACAAGUGACAUGAAUUUAAUCUGAUUCAAAGAAUGAUCACGUAAGUCUCUAAUAACUCACAGAAUCUUAACAAGGUAUAUGCACAACUUAAGGCAAACAGAAGUGGAACCCAAUUCGUGCUCCUCACCACCUAAAUAAUCUGAUCAACAAUUAAAUAACACUAUUGUCAAAAAAAAAAAAAAACAAUUAAGUAACACUAACUAAUUUCAGAAUUUUGUUAUCAAUUGAGCCUCUUCAACCACCUUCAUUGACUAUAGAAUCAUUCUGCGAUGAUAUAAAGAGUGCAUUCAAGCAGGAAAAAAAAAAUCCUUGAACCCUUAUAUUUUUUUCUAAAUUCAUAAUCAAACAAUAUGUACAUUAGAAAAAAGAGAGAGAAAAAAAAAGAGGUUACACCUUGGGAUGUCACACCCAUUUGGCUGCCACUUCCAUUUAACAAAUCCGUCGUCAGGUCUCCCGUUUAGGUGACAAUCAAAAUCCCUAUCAAUAUAAGGACAUGAACCUGGUGGAUAAUAUGGCUUAGAGUCAUCUCUCACCCAUCUACCAUCAAAUAUAUUACAUUUGUCAUAAGAACUGCCAUGCAUCUUUGUAGGUUCAGAAUCAUAACGAGGAUUUGUGAUCUUAUUGUUUGAGUCAUUCAAACUUCCACCGUCUCCCGACAAAUUAGUCACAUUGUUAUUAUCGGGAACCUUGCUAUUCACAUAACUAGUAUUAUUCACAAAUUGACUCCUAAUCUCCUUUGAAUUCACAUCUCCCUUGACAACAAGGCUACAAUUCCCACAGCUCCGUCCUUCCUCAACGGGGAAGCUUCCAUUGUUAACUGUAUGAGAAAAAUUUACUUUGUCAGCACUAGAAUCCGAAAAGUUUCCAUUUCUAGAAAGAGCUGAAGCAUUUGCUUCUAGAAUGCUUCCAACUUCAGCCUCCAGAGUCAAAUUCCCCAAAUGGGCAAUCUCAUUAGACACGUUUGCUUCUUGGGAUUUUCCGACCAAAUCAACGGAGCUGUCCGCUUGCCUGCCGCCACUAACACUAACACCGGUAUCAUUUGAUACAGCAGUUGUAAAUGAGAAGGGCCAAGAAACAACACGGGAAGAAUUAUUAUUAAUAACUCUAACAAGAUUAAAUCCUUGAAACAAAGGAGAAACAGCAGGAGCCUUCAGAGAGUUGCUAAGCAAAAGCACAACAAACACAAUGACAGUAGCCGCAACACCCAAACCAAAUCCAGAAACUACCUUUCUUCUCGGAGAUAGAAGCUGCUCCGUAAACGCAACUUUUCUCGACUCCAUUAUUGCUCGCUAAUCUCUAUUAAAAUGCAUGCAUAAAUAGUUAAAAAGCAAUCGCGACCCCUCCAAACACAGAAUGAGGCGAGAAAAAUGUGAAGGGGGCGUUGGGAUCUAAGUGUGAGUGGGGUGCAAAAUGUGAAGUUUUGAGGAGAAAAGGAUUUUAAAAGUGUUUGUUGCUUUGCUUUUCGGAGAUUAUUACAAUGAAAGAAAAUGGAGUGACUGUGUUGCGUUUGUUCUGUGUUGAAAGUACAGUAGUUCAAAUUAAACUAAUUGACGGUGUUGGAAUCAGAGUUGGAUUCCUUCACAGGGUAAAGAGACUGAGAGAAAAUCUCACAGCUGUGAAUUACUAAAGUGCCCCGGUUGCUUCCAAAGCAACAUAGAAAUUUAUUUUGUCACCCUUCAAAUCUUCUUCCAUUUCACACCCUGGAAAGCAAAAUUAGAGUGUGGGAUUAGCAGGCGGUUACUGGAAGUCUCGAAAGCAAUUAGCAUACAGGUACAGGCUGCAUAAAUAUUAUUAUUUUUAAUUAAAUGAUAAUACUUUCAUUAUAUAAAAUUAUUUUUAUUUCAUAAAUAAAAAUAAAUUCAUAUUACAUAAUUAUAUGUAGUAAUUAUAUAGUGCUAUAUUUUUACAAUUUAAUAUUAAAUUAUAUUAUGUGAUAAUAUGUUAUACUAUAUUAGAGUAACUAAUAUAUGGAAAUAAAUUAUAGUAUAAUAUUGUAAUAUUUUAUUAUUUAACAAUAAUACAUUAUCAAGUCAAAAAAAUAAUUAUUCAAUGCUUAAUUUCAAAAAUCAAAUAAUAGCACCCUAAAUUAUAAUAAAUUUAAAUAAUUUUACAUAAAAUUAAACUAAUAAUAUUUAUAUAAUGCAUCUCAUACUACACUUAACAUACUAUUACAUCACAACUUAAUACAUUUUAAUUGCAAUAUACCUCAUAACAGUAUACAAUAAAUAUAGUAUAUAAUAAUUAAAUUAUUUAAUUCAAAUCGCUUGUUAAUUAUUAUUUUUUCUUAAUUUUUUUUAAAUAAAAGCAAGGGUUAUAUUUCACAGAUUAAAUUAAAGAUAACAUUUUAAAAAAUUUAAAUAAUCCUCCAACCAAAUAAAAGAUCUAGAACGCUUAAAGAGCAAAUUUAACUAAUAAAUCAACAAAAUAAUUACAAUAUUGUAAAAUAUGACUUAAGUUUGAAGCUCCACAGUAUUGAAUCUAGCAUUUGUACCUCUGAAAUAAUUUAAAAUAACUUUAUACUUAUAUAAUAAAUGAAUGAAAUAAAUUGAAUAACCCGAAAUGAAUCCAACUCCACCCUCCAACGAAGAGAAACUAGUGUCGCUAUUAUUACGGGAAUUAUUAUUAUGAUGUACAGAGUUGCUUUCUAAUCUAAUCUUCUUCAAGGGGAUCAAUAAUUGAUGCAGUUGUGCAGAUAUAAAGGGGGCACAUUCGUCACUUCCGGAGAAACAUGCGGUUCUCCAUUAACUGUCAAAAGCAUACGCGGCUCCACGGACACGUGGUGUCACCAUAGCCGUUACAAAAGCCGGAAUACGAAGUUGGGACGCGCACGCGGCACGUGCUUAUGUUUCAAGUUAAAAAAGAAAGUGCGUGCACCCAGAAUAGCGGUCCGUUGAUUGCCGGACACGUGGAGAAAUCGGGAUAUUGGUGGGACUAUUUGCUGACAGUUAUAAUUUUCGGUGACAGGAGCACGCUAUUUUGAUAACACCUGAAAUUCGCCCAUACCCUUUGUGGCAUGGGCGGAUCCAAUGAAGGGCCGGGGGGUGUGGAUCAUUAAAUUUUAUUUUAAAUGUACCCUAAAUUUUUUAAAAAAAAAUUAAAUAAAAAAAUUUAGACAUAUUUUUUAUAUAUUAAAAGACUUAUAAUUUAAUAGUAAAAGUGUUAUUUAAUGGUUUCAAAAUCUUAGUUCAAAUCUUAUUAGCCACAUUAUUUUAUUUUUUAAAAUAUUUUAUAGAAACUACUUUGAAAAAUAAUAUUUUCACGUAUUUAAAAAAAUAAUUUAUUAUUAUUAUUAUUUAAAAUUUAAAAAAAAUAAUAAAAUUUAAGUUUAUAAAACUUAAAAUAUAUUCAAGUGAACAUUAAAAAAAAAUUAAAUUAAAUAAAUUUUUUUGAACUAAAUCCCUCUUCAUUUUAGUUUUUGGGUCCGCCACUGCUUUGUGGGGGUCAUAGUUACCCGAUCGGAGAAGGCGAAACUAACGCCGUUAAGUCUAAAUUUGCCUGCACGACGGUCAGCGGAGCCAAAAACGAAGUAGACGAUGCUUCUAGAACCUUCUAAAAUUUGUAGUCCCGAUUGGAGGAAAUCUGUGUGUUUAAUGCCAGCGUUAUGUUUGUAGAUCUCUUCGAUAAAUACCAUAAAAAGGAAUUUAACUUUUUCAAAAAAAAAUAAAAAAUAAAAAGUUCAUAAAUCAUAGCCAUAACGCAAAAAGAAAGUACGUGAAAUAUUCUCUCAUAUGCUGAUUAUUAAAAUUAGCCCGUUAAAAAUUAUCACUCGCAUAGGAAGUAUCAAAUAGGCUAAAAGUAAAAGUUAAAACUCAAAUCUUUUUCUGAAAUUUGUUUCAUCAACAUAUCAGUGGUCUGCCCAUCAUAGGUUCUCCAAGAAAUCAACACAGAGAGCCAAAUUCACUUUAAGCUUAAGCUGCAAUCUUGCGAAGAAAAGAAGGCAACAACUAUACAGAAGAUCCUUUUUGGACAGACUACAUAUUUGUAUAUCUAACACAUACCAAAAUUUUGUGACAAGAAGCUCAAUCAACUGGAUAAAUUUUCCAACAAAGAACAAGAAGCUUAUACAUGAAUUUCCUCUUUUAACUUUUUUACAGAUGAAUACAUGGCGUGUUGGCAUGCAACGGCUAUCAACAGCAAUCUCAUAAUGUUUUUCACACGAAGGCUCGAAGCAUGAGUGGUGCGGUAUAUAAUGAAGGGUAAGGAUCACCUAGGACCCGAAAGCUCCAUUGCCUCUAUCACAAGUGAAGAUUCUUCUAUAAAAUCUGAGUAUCUUUUUUCAUGAGUCCGGUACCUUGGUGUCUCGAUCUUCUGCGAUGCCUCCCAUUUCUCGGCCAAACCGUCACCUUCCAACAUCUUUAAUACUUCAGACAUUUUUGGGCGGUGCAAAGGGUUAAAUUGAGUACAUAGAAGGGCCACCUGAACCAUUUCUUCCAGUUCAAUCCUGUCAAAAUUUCCCUUCAGAUCUUUAUCCACCAUUUGGCUAAGUUUUCCUUCCAGAUGGAGCUUCUUUACCUAAAAUAAAUAUAAGUUAAAACAGAAAUGUCAGAGAAGAUUUAAAACCAUAUCCAAACUUGAUUGAUUAGAGAGAAUAUGAGAACAUACCCAAUCAAGCAUCACACCUCUCUGGUUUGCUGCCCGUCCAAAAUCCAAAGCUCUCUGACCUGUUAUCAGUUCAAGCAGCAAGAUCCCAAACCCAAAUACAUCUGUCUUUUCUGAAGACUGACCCGUUGAUAAAUACUCUGGAGCAAUAUGGCCAACAGUGCCGCGCACAGCUGUGGUUACAUGGGAAUCCCUGUGAUCCAAAAGCUUUGCUAAUCCAAAAUCUCCGACAACUGCCUCAAAAUCUUCAUCCAGCAAAAUGUUGGCUGCCUUGACAUCACGGUGGAUAAUUUUGGGGUCACACUGUUCAUGUAAAUAAAGCAGACCCCUUGCCGUGCCCAGGGCAAUCUUUUUCCGUCUUGCCCAAUCUAAAGCUGGCCGACCAUGAAUGUGAUCUGCAACCCACAACAGAUCUAAUUAUUUUAGGGUCUACGGAAGACAUCAGAUCCUGGAAAAAAAUUUACCUACUAAAGUUGAAAAUUGUUUGUAUAAUCUUCACCUUUACUUUCAAGCAACAAAAGUUGAAUAACUAACUGCUUGAAAUUUUACACUUUAAAACAGAAAAACGAAAAAGGUUUUUCACCAACUGAAAAGGGAGCUGAUGAAGAUAAAUUAGUGGAUAAACUUCAAAGAAGUAUAAGCAAAAUCCAUUCCUAGAAAUUUAAGAACUAUGAUUCAUUGGGCAAGCGAUUUGAUAACCAAUGAGAUUCUCGUCACAGAAAGCAGCUACUAAGAGGCUGCUUGCUGUUUCAUAUUAAAAAGAUAACCAGAGCUUUGUCUGAAACUGUUAAGUUUGUUUUAUAACCUACCCAAGAUAUAAAUUUUGUAAGAGUCAGCAAACUAACCUCUUAAUCUUGAUGCUACACUACCAUUUGGCAUAUAGGGAUAAACAAGAAGCCUUUCAUUUUCAGUAGAGCAGAAACCACAGAGCCUGAGAAGAUUCCGGUGGACAGCUAAACUUAUCGUCUCUACUUCUGUCUGAAAUUGGACUUCACCCCCUGCUAUAUUAUAGUCCUUCAGCCUUUUAACAGCCACCAAAGCUCCAUCACUAAAGCAUCCCUUGUAUACAAUCCCAAAUCCACCUCUUCCUAGAAUAUUUUUUGAGCUGAAGUUGCUAGUUGCAGCCCGAAGCUCCUUAAAUGUAUACCUUUUCAAAUGACCCAGAGACACUUCUGGAUCAUAUUGAUCUGCCACACAACAUAUAGUGGAUUAGAAAGCGUGGAUAAGUGGAUGACAAAAAAUGGUUCAAUGCAACUAACUAAUUAUAUUAUGAAUUAUAAUUUAAAAUGUCAUGGAUUAGAAAGCAUGGAUAACAGAAGCGCCUGUUAAUGGAGAGUGGAUAAUUCGAUGCUUAUGCACAUUAACUAUGUUCGAACUUCGAAGUCCACUUUAGUUCCAAUAAUAAGGGAGAUGGAGAUGAUCUCACAAUCCAAGAUUUGAUAACUGAACUUGAUCUGCACGGCAACCUUUCUUCACUCAUUUUAGUAACUUUGUAGACGUUAAUUAAGCACCCAUUUACUUAGUCUCCUAGUCUUCAAGUCAUUUACAGCUCCUUUCAAACAUAAAUAACUUUAAAACAGAGGAUAACUACUUAAAAAGCUCCAACAACACAUGAGGACUUAAAAUAAUUAAUAACGUUUUGCAACAACACAUCAAAGAUCUUAGUGUUAUUAAAAAAUUUUAAUUUUUUCGACAAAUAUAGUACCAAUAACGUUCCCAGCUAACCACCCAACAGCAGGAUUUGCAUUCAAAGGGGGCUACGUCAUUACUGCUUGCAUAACUACUUAUGCUUCUGUCAAGGAUUUUAGCAAUAACUCACUUGUGAAGACAGCCAUAAACCCAGAAGAAUUUACAAAUAGCUAUGAAAGCUUUUCUAUGGGGUUAUAAUCAUUUGUCCUAGUGAACCAAACCCAAAAGUGUGUACAUGGCUCUGCACACUCACCAUCAAAUAUUGAUUAUAUAUUACAGCAGGCUCUAGUAAUUGUUAGCUACUCACUCUGUUUAGAAUGUGUGAAUUAGGAAUCUAUUUCUUGUUGUGCUUAAAGAUUAUAAACACGAAUGGUCAUAUUGGGCAAUAUAUCUUGUGUGUGUGUGUGACCAUAAAAGUGCUGUGAGAAUGUAAGCAUUAAUCAUGUGGCAAAGCAAAAGAAAGAGACAAAAACUAACCAUUGACAUCAAAGAAAAUCUGCUGAUUGUGUCUGUAACGCAACCAAACAAGUAAGCCGACAACAAUUAUGACAAAAAAAGCAGCACCAAAGCUUGCACCCAAAGCAACAGCCACACGACGGCUUUUUGUCCCAGAGUCUGAUUGAUCUAUGAAAUCACAGAUCCAGCAGUUUAACUAUUUCAUCAGAAGGUUGUAGAGUAGAAUAUUGUGAAAAAUCAAACAAUCCUAGAUAGGCUAUGUAGCAGAAACCUUUAAGACCAUUUGGCGGAAGGGAAAGAGGUUCCGGAAAGACAGCAGUACAAUUGUUGGUCGCCUUCGGUCCGCAAAUCAGAGGAUUUCCUGUAACUCUGAAGAAAAUAGAGAGAAUCAGAAUAAUAGAAACCAUUAAUACAACAAUCUGUAGAAAGAACAAAUAAGUUUGGAACAAGGAAAGAAUGGCUUACUUGAAUGUUCUUGCUGAUAUUUUAGGCAAAGAACCGCUUAGAUUGUUAUAGGAAAGGUCCCUACAAGCAGAAUUAACCUUCAGCGGUGAAUAAUUUAUAUAUACUGAAGUAACAAUGAAUUAAACUUCUUCAUUUCCAGCAAAACUAGGAAGUAAUCAUGUGCAGAAGUUAAUCAUACAUACACUAGAGUAAGACUUUCAAUCUUGGACAAAGACUCGGGGCAUGAUCCUGUAAGGCUAUUAUUGUUCAACCGCCUGACUUGCUCAGCCAAAAACAUAGAACAUGUAGGAAUUAGAAUCAACAUCAAGCGUAAACAGUAUGUGAAAGAUGGACAAAGUUUAUGCUAAUUAAGGAUGCAAGAUGAGAAGCAGUGUAAGGAUUCUGAAACUUACAAAUAAUUCAGAUUUCCAAGGUCCCCCAAUGAGUCAGGUAUUUCACCAGUAAAUUUAUUGUUGGAGAGAUCAAGAGUCUGAAGCUUCUCCAACUUCCCAAGUGAAGCAGGAAUAGGGCCCGAAAUUGCGUUAUUCUGCAGUAACCUACACGUUUAUGCAAAGGAUGAGCAAUACGUCAGCCAUAUUGGCUCUGCAGUAGGUGAACAAACUGAAAAUUCACGAGGAAACUACAAAUAUCAAAGUGAUAAGAAUGAUGAAUUCAAAACCAAAACAAGAAGCAUGGAGGUAAUUACUUACACUGAUUGCAACUUGGUGAGGUUUCCAAUCCACGGUGAUAAGGUCCCAGAUAAGCUCUGACUAGGAAGUCCCCUGUUUAAAGCAAGGAAAACAUCAGUUAGAAGUUGCCUCAUGUAGAAAGUGGAAGAAUUGUGAUACAACGAGAUUCAAACAACUUACAGAGCAGAAACAUAGCCAUCAGGUGAACAAGUAAUCAUUCUCCAGCUACAAGGAUCCACGGAAGUGAUAUCCCAAUUCUCCAGAACAUUAUAAGGGUCAUGUAGAUUGUUUUUAACGGCCACUAAAGCUACCACUGCCCCAAUUUAAAUGGAAAACAAUUAAUAAACGAAGGAACUUAGCCUUCUUUACCAUAACAUAAACAUGUUUUGUCAGCCAAAACAGUGUUAAACUAAAGAAAAGAUUGUGGGUACUAAAUAAGACAUCAUUAUGAAGGACAUUUAAGAAGUUCAGAUAGUCUUGCAGUGCACCAAAGCAUUUACUCAUAAAAGAACAAAAAUAGUUCAACUUGGAAACAAAAUAAUGGGCGUCAAAGAGAAGGGAAACAAUAAUGAAAAACUAACCUUCAUAGUUAAUACCAGCAGGAGAAAGAGUAGCAUAACAAAUAUCUAUCAAUGCCAAAACCAAAAAUCCCACCCUCCAAAACUUGUAACUCUUCAUUUCCAUAGUCUAUUUUCAGUCGAGUAACAUCACUCUGUAUCCACAACUAUUAUCACCAGCCAUUCUCACAUGAGGUGAACUGUCAAAUGUUUUUCUUUGCUUUGCCUUAUCCAAAACAAAAAAGUUCCCUCUCAGAAUCAGAACCCACUUAAAAGAAAAAAAGGAACUUUUUAUCGCUUACGCUUCAAGAAUGGGAAACAACAGACACCCAGUUGAUAAAAACAGUGUCUUGAAUGUUUCCAGUAGAGAUAAAACAGAGAGAGAGAGGUUUGGGAGAACGAAUGAAACAAAGUAGAAUGAGGCACUAUACGGGCCGACACAAGGAGCAAAAGAAAGUGAAUUUUCUCGAGAAAGAAACAGGUAUCAUCAUCAAGCCUGAAAUUCUGAGAUCCUAGAGAUCUGAGUUUGGUUUACUAAAUGGCUUUUGGGGUGAUCCAUGUGGGUUGUGCAACUGUGUUGUUUGCUUUCUAUCUUUGGUUGUUGUUCUUUCUCACUCUGCUGUUGAUUCCACUUCUCUCAUUAUCUUCUUUGCUUUUCUAGUUUUAAACAACACAAAAAGGAAACAUUUUUGAAAAAACAAAAGCAAGUAAAAUGAAAUUCACUUUAGUACAGAAAGCAAAGAACCAACACACGCAAAGGCAAAAGCAAAAGGCUAAAAAAUAACACAGAUACAGAUGCAAGUAGUAUGCAGCCACAGACUCAGUAACUAAUGGGAAACCCAAAAAAAAAAAAAAAAUAAAUAAAAAUUUUUUCUUUCUUGCUCUACAAUUACAUUGAAGUGUAAACGUAAAUGGAAUUAAACAAUUAAAAUGAGUGAUUGGACCGAAGGGUGAAGAGGGGUGUGAGGCAUUGAUCAGAGAGGAACAAUGGGAUGUCGUCUAUUGUCGAUUUUUGCAAAAAGAAAAAUUUUGUUGCAGUAACUUGUUUGUUUGGCAGGUCACGUGCUUUGAUUGUCUUGCCUUUUGUUUGCUUUCGCCUUUUUUUUUUUUCACGAAAAAGAAAAUUAUGAAGUUCUGUUAAAAGUUUCUGCGGACAAGGUCCCACGAUGCUAACGUGCGCCGGAUAUUUAACAGUUUUGAAUUCACGGUCAUUAUAUUUUGUUAGUGGUAGGUUGACGGAUUAUGCAAAUUGGGAUGGUACAGAAAAUUUUCAAGUGGAUUAUGAUCUAUUUAAUUGGUAAUAAAAGAUUCGUAUUAAAAGUUUUGAUGAAAAUGCAAGAUUUUUAAUUUUUUUUUAAUUUGUUGCCUUCUGUUAGAAGGCAUGUGUCGAUUCAGUCCCGUACAAAUUAAUGUUUAUGUAAACACCAUUAAAAAAAAAAAAAAACCAAUUAGAUAGGGCCACUUAAGUCACGGACCGGUCAGGCGUGGUUAGUUAGACUUACGAGUUUAGACCAACGGACCUGUCUGUCUGUUCUGCUAAGAUGCGCCAGAUCCAACAAUAAUGCAAAAUGGCCAGGCCAAUAACAGUGAUCAUUCGAUGGCCCCAUCCAUUGCUUUAUUAACAUCAUAAAAUUAGCAUAUAAAUAAAUAAAUAUAAUUAUACAAAACAUCGCAAUAUCAAAAAUAAAUAUUAAUAAAUUUUGGUUGAUUCUUGACCCUGGCGGCAUAACGUGAAUAUCAACCCAAGUUUCAACAAAGCUAGACUGGAGCUAGUGAGUGGGGAUGGUAAAGUUCAACAAUACCCAAAAAAAAUAUAUAUAUAUAUAUAUAUUGGUGUACUGUACACUUGAAAUAAUGGCAGUGAGAAUUUAUUCACUAAAUAUAAUUUUAAUAAUUAAAAAAAAAAAGAGAGAUUUGUGGAGGUGCGUGCCAAGGUUUUUGUACCCUUGCUUAAUGCUUAUUCUUUAUUGGAUACCGUGAGAAAGAAUCUCUAAAAUGCGCCCACCGGGACACAUGCCGCAUGUCUUGCCCACAUGGACAAUCCCGGUAUUUCCUCAUUCUCUCUCUUUAUGUUUUUUUCUUACAGAAAUAAAAUAAAAUAAAUAAAAUAAUAAUUUGUUGUGAUAUUUGCCAAUUGGUCAAUAAAACAAAAUGGCAUUCACGUCUCAACUCUCAAUAGCAAAAAGUAACUUUUGAUUCAAAGUUCAUUUACAGAAAGUGACGACUGGAGUGGAGGAGCACUCGAUUCAGGCUUUUUGUAUUAUAGUCUAUCAAUUAAUCUGUUUCGUUGAAAAAAAAAAAAAAAAAAAAGUCUUAAAAAUAUAUAUAUUAAUUUGGGAAACCACCCAUUAUUCCAAGAUUAAAUCACUUUUUCUUCUCACACAUGUGCACCGAUGUUUAAGUUUCAUCGUGUUUUUUUGGUAUAUAUUUUCUUUCAAUUUUUUUUUAGAUGAGCUUUAAUAUGUUACGAGUCUAAGCAUGCAAGUUAUGUCAUAACAAUCCUAUUUAAGUAAUGUCUCAUUUUCUUAUUAUUGUAAACUAUAUAUUUCGUCACAUAUGCUAUCCCAAUAAUACAUUUUCAAAGUAAAAAAUAAUAAUAAUAAUAAUACUACAUUUAAUGGUCUUAUGUCAACCAUUAGAUUAAACAAAAUCAAUGAAUAUGUGAAGUGAAAAUCUUAGGUUAAUUUUAAUUAAGCCAACUUUAUGAGAAAUUAUUUUAUUUUUAGAGAAAAAUAUUACCGAAGAAGGAAGCUAAGAAAUGAUAAGGAUGCAAACAGAGAAAGUCAAGGAACAGAAUCCGGUUCCGAUUAAUUAAAAUACUAUUUAUUGUGGGUGGGUAAACGGUGAAAAGGACUGAUGAGCAGAAGGAAAUGGGUUUGGGUUAUAAUUAAUUAAUGUGUUAAUCAGGAAUAAAAUAAAGUAGGAUGAUGCCUUGAUGUGCUGUUAAAGCCUAUAACGUGGAAACCCAAAACCCAAGGGUAUUUUUGUCGCCAUGGGAAGCCUCCCUGAAUGAAUAUUCUCCAACUCACAACUUUGUUUAUGCUGAUAAUUUUAAUUUAUUCAUUAUUUCUUUAUAUUCAAAAGCAGAGAAUUGCCAGUUAGUUUGCCACGCACGAGAUUACCCAAAUUUCAAUGGGCAUGUUGGUCGCUUAAUUAGGGUGAGUGAAAGUGAGAUUAAACGCCCCCUAAUAAAUAUCUAACGCGCCCCUCAACCACUUAAAACCUAAAUAUAUUUGCUCCUCUAUAUUAAUAUGUCUUGCUAAUUCAUAGGUAGAAUAUUCAAAAUUAAUUUGUUAUUGCUGUCGUUUGUAAAAUUACUUUUUCAUUGCAGUGGGGAACUUGCAUGAUUGUAUAAGGACUAUGGUGAUUUAUUAAUAAUUUUAACAAAGGAUGGUAAUAAAUGAGUUGAGUUGCCUUUUUUUUCUUCCCCCCCGCCCCUCCAUGUAAGACUUGAGUUGCUUAAAACUAUUUUAUUUGAAGCUGCAGAUGAACCCCUUUCAGGGGAGAAAAAAAUGGUAAAUGAGUCGAGUUGACUCAUUAACGAGAAUACUCAACUUCAAUUAACGAUGUCAGUUUCUAUUCAGGUGGUAUAUAUAUAUAAACGGAUCAUCGAAUCGUACUUGUGUUAUCUCAUAUUUAGUUGAUCCAAGCACGAUUUAUUUAAUAAUUUUGUUAAAAUAUUGAAACUCUAACUCAACGUAAAAAAAUAAAUGAGUUACUCAAUAAUUCACUUAAUAUCUAUAUAUUUAACAAAAUUUACAUUAAAUAUUAUAUGUUUGUGUGCGUGCGCACGUCGAUAUUAUAAAAUAUAUAUAUCCGCUAAAUAUUACAUAUUUAUACUAUUGAAGUUCUAAAAUCAAUAUAAAAUUUUAUAAAUGAAAUAUUGUGUGUAUCUUCAUCCUUAUAAAAAAAAAAGAUAAUCAUACCUAAUAUUUUGAGUUUUGAUAACAAUAACCUACAAAUUAAUUUAAAAUAAAAAAUAUAAUCGUGUCAUUAACUGGAUAAAUGGGUUAAGAACUUUAACUCUAAUCUGAAAAGAAAAAAAAAUUGUGUCAACUCAAAACGCAGUUUAUUUAAUAAUCGCAUCAAAUUUGAAAACUCAUACCCAUUUAUUCUUGUCGUGUCGAGUAAUGGGUCAUGUCAAAUUUUGAUAUCCCUCUCUCUCUCAAUGGAUUCUCACUUUGUUAAAGUGACAAUGCCCUCUAUAUUUUUUGUGUUUUAGCAACAUUUUUACUUUGUUAAAAUAAGGGAUAAACUACAAAAUAAGAAAAAACACACAUUCAAUAUAUUAUAGGAUGAAAUAUAUUUAUAUUAGAGUGUGUGCUUCCUUAAUUUUUUAGUUUGUCUUUUACUUCAAUAAUUUAAGAGAUUCUUUAUUAAAUAAUGACUACAUGUAUAAAAUUAUUUUUUGGUAUAAAUAUCGACAUAUUUUAAAAUAGGGAUUCACUGUAUACACCAAUCCAUAUUUUAAAGGAUGUAAACAUUUGCACUAGAGAAUGAUAUUAUUAUUAUUAUUAUUAUUAUUACUACUACUACUACUACUAGUGUGUCUAUAUAUAUAUAUAUAUAUAUAUAUAUAUAUAUAUAUAUAUAUAUAUAUAUAUAUAUAUAUAUAUAUAUAUAUAUAUAUAGAGAGAGAGAGAGAGAGAGAGAGAGAGAGAGAGAGAGAGAGAGAGAGAGAGAGAGAGGGAGAGGAAGAGAGGGAGGAGGAGUCAUUCUCUAAUUUUAAGUCGAGAAUGUCAUUAAAAUAUAAAAAAUAUACAUAUUUUAAUACAUAAAAAUUGUAUUUUUUUAAUUUGUUAAUAACAUUCUUUAUUUUAACAAAGUGAGAAAGUUCCCACUAAAAAAUAAAUUAAACAAUUAUAUGUGUGUGUGUGUAAGAGUCUCUCAUGCGCAGACAAUAAAAUACAAAUUUUAUGUUGAUGUGGUUAAAAGAUAAUUUUUUUAAAAUGUAUUAUUUGUUUUUAAGUCUAUGAGAGUUCGUAUUUGCGUAUAUCUUAACUGUAUCUACACUAAGGUGAUGUUUGGUUGGGAGGAGAGAAUGGAGUAGAGAAAAAUAAUUUAAAUUCUUUUUUUUAUUUCCAUUGUUUGGUUUGACAAAAUAUAUAAGAAUUUAAUUUCCAUUAUAAUUUAAUAUUCAUCAUAAUGUAGAAUUUGAAUUCCACACUAAGUAGUGAAGAAUUUAAAAUUUUCUUAUUUAGAAACUAAAAUUUUCAAAAUUAUCAUUCAACUUUUUAACUUGUUUAAUGGCAUUAUUAAUUAUUAUUUUAUUGAUUUAAUAUUAUAAAUGGACCUCCACAGGAAAGUCGUCGGACCACUGUCGGACUUUGCCGUACCGCUGCUGUGCCGCCACCAGACUUUCGCCAUACCUUCGCCGCCGACCACCGGACUGCCAUUUUAUUAUAUAUAUAUAUAUAUAUUAUUACUAAUAUAAAUAGUUUAAUAUUUAAGGUAAAUGUUAAAUUUGUCUAAAGAAAAAAAAUUAUAAUUCAUUUUCUUAUCAAAUUUUAUAUCAAAACAAAUAACAAAAUAUAAUUUUACUACUAUUCUCCAUUCCUUUCUUCUCUCUUCCUCUCCAUUCCACUAUUUUCCUUUCCUCCAUUUUCUUCGAACCAAAUACGGCCUAAAUACAUAUUUUAGCGUUUACAAAUGAGAAGCUCUCUGCAUACAUAUUAUCUGACAUGAUUACAAUUUGUCAAUUUACAACCGUGACUCCGUGAGACGGCAAUGGACCAAGCCAAUGGCAGUAAUUAUAAUAUUUUCAUAUAGAGAGUAUCUAUAAAAUGAAUUUGUGUUUUUCUUUUUUUAUCUUUUAAUUGAUUUUUAAAUGAUAUGUGUACUAUAAUAUUUUUUUAUUUUUUAAAAAAAGGCGAUACUUCUGUGAUUCAACACUGUUUCUGCAACCAUAUCUCUCGGCAAAUAUUCAGAGUAGAGAGCAAGAAGAGUAUCAAUCUAUGAGUGAAUCUUUGAAGCGGGAGCUCGAUCAAGCAAUGCAGAAACAAAAAAACAAAAUUGGAUUUGGAUCAAACACUAAGGUGCUAAGGGGGGCCACCCAGCGCCGGCCCCUAGGAGAUCAGACUGAUUGAUGUUCAAUAAAAUAAUAUAUAUAUAUAUGUACUCAACAUGGCGAUAUGUCCCAUCCUUAUUGGACCAACAUCUAAAAAAUCAGAUGCUACAUAGCGUGGUGAUUAUGCCCCUUUUUUGAAAUCACCUUUUUUUCUUUUAAAAAGCAGUCUUUGAAUUAUGAAAAUGAAUUAAAGAGUUCUCGAUUUGAAAGCGGGUUCGUUCGAUUUUGGAUAGCCGGACCACCAGACUGAGAGACUUGCAUGUGUUUGAUUUUUUAGAUGAAGCGAAGCGACGCAAAGCCAAGGGAAUGGAAUAGUGGAAACAGGAAAGUACACAACAAGUAACAACUGUUUCUUUUUUUUUUUUUUUUCCAAAUUCUGGGUUGUUUUUAAGUUGUGGAGAUGAUUUCAUAUGGGUCCAUGAUUUUUUGGCAUUGGCUCUAUUUUAAAGUGGUCCCUUUUGUUUUCAAGUGACGAUUUUUCAUUUGGCGGACCACCAACCCUGAACCAACUUGGAUCAUUAUUCCAUUUCAAUAUUUCAUUCUUUAUUCGUAUUAUAAUAUUCAAAUUCUUUUAUUCGAUUCUUGUAACUAAUUUAACCAUGUGGCGAACUACAAUUUGUCAUCCAUAAUUGCUUUGCUCAUCGUUUAGUCUUAUAUAAACUAUCAUCUCCACCUUUUAAAAAAAAAAAAAAAAUUCUUUUAAUCCAUAUUUACAAGAAUUUUCGACUACUAUACAUACCCUUGACAAGUCAGAGUUUCGAAAAAAGAUUCCAUGCAAUGGAACUGGGCUGCUUAAUCCGCCAGUCCCGACGAAGGGCUUUCCAAACACUAUGGGCCUACACUUGGGCUUUUGGGCUGGUGCAGAGAUCCAUAUACUAAAUCUAAAUGAUGAUUUUUAUUUAUUCUCGGGGGAGCAACAAAUUGUCGGUUUAAAGAUGAGGUCACAACGGGACCCUUCUAAAAUCUGAAUCAAGGAGCAUCUCCGCUGGCAUACGGGCCUCAUCAAGACAGCCACAUCCUCAUUAAUCUUAAACUGUAGGUUGGGUUGAAAUGGUAGGAGCUUCGAACAUGCUCCGAUUGGGAUUGAAUUUUGUACUGAUGUGAUACGCUCAUCCAAAAUAUAAUUGUAUGUAAAGCUUAUUCUUGAGUUUUUUAUUUUAUUUUGGUUGUUAUUAAAGUGUAUUUUUGACCCAAUAAUAACUAGUGGUUGUGUCUACAUUAGUUUAUUUAAACUAGAAAUGUCAUCAAUAAAGAAAGAGUCUUGAGAAUUAUUUUGGUAGCUAUAAUAAGACCCGCUUUCGGUUGGGGGUAGAUGAGUGGGGGAUAGAAUAAUUUUAAAUUUUUUUUUCUACUUCUCACUGUUCAGUUGCCCCAAAUUUAAACAGUUGAAGUUCAACGUCAAUCAAGUUGAGGAAUUGUACUUCAAAUUCCUCUUCUAUUAUAAUGUAAAAAUGCCAAAAUUAUCCUCUAAAUAAAAUAAAUUUUUAAAUAAGUUCAAGAUUUAAUUAAUAAUUAAAAGAAUUUAUUGCAAAUUAUUUAUAUUUAUUUUAUUAAAUAAUAUGAUAAAACUAUUUGAAAAAAAAAAAAAAAUGCAGUGCAUUGCAAUUGCCAGAUCGUCACUGAAACAGUCGCUGGAAUUUCAUCAUAGACACACAUCACAUCGCCACCAUUACCAAUAGCAUCAUUUUGAGCCAAUUUACAACUCUACGGAGUUAGAAAUGCCUAUAUAUAUUAUUAUCUAUUUAAAUAUCGUUGACAAUCCAUGGACUAACUAUUGUAUUUUUUUUCAAAUUUACGUUGACUAUUACAUUACUUGUAUUCAAUAACCAUAUGUUUAGAAACUAAUUUGAACUAAAUAUAAUUAUUUGUGCAUGGUUGAAAAUUUCAAAUACUGGAGAUAUAAAAAGGCACAUCUUUAGAUCAACAAAAAUAAACGCAAGCAAAGAUAAACUAAAAAUACUAAAAGACUAAAAGCCUUGUGUAUGUAGUCACUCAACAUAUUAAAUCUGAAAUAUUAAAACAGAGCAAACGUAUAAAAAAAGAAAGAAAAAAAAUAUAUACAAUAAGUGAGAUGUGCGGGACUCAGAAGAAGAGGUCAUUGAAUUUGUUUGAAGUAUACAGAUCGUGGAUUUUCAUGCAGCAAAGCCCUCUGCAAAUCUCCGAUGCCGACGCUAGAACACGUCAAAAUUAACCUGCCCUUUAUUUUAGCAUCCUCCUCGUCCACCACCACAUUCUUUAUUUCACUCCAUUUACACUCGUCAUCACCGCAUUCACCAAUCUCGCAAAGCACCAAAUCUUCGGAAUUUGAAGGAUUAUUCAAGUACACUGAAUCUCCCAUCGACGUUACACUGACGCUAGUUAGAGAAGCGCUUCCACUUCCACUGCAGAUCUCUUUAUUCCCUUUCAGCUUCUCCAAAAGCGCUUUUGGCAUCUCACCUAUCUCCUUCAACUCUUCCAACGACCCCCCUUUUAUAUUUACCUGCCAUAUCUUUAAACUCUUGACGUCCUCAGCUUCCCCAGUGAGCCCCACCGCAAUCAAACGGUCGUUUGCAAACGUGAUCACGGAAUAAAAUACCUUCUUCUCGUGAUCAAAUUGACGUAAAUGGAACGGUCCGGACCAGCCCUUAGUACUGGGGUCGAAUGAGACCGUAAUGCCCGAGUACUUCUCAGUCACGUAAAGUUGACGAGAAUUUACCGCAACCGACAGCCAAGUUGAGGCAGCUGAGUCUUUGAGAACGGCUGGCAUGCUUUGGCAGAUUUCCCACGCGCGAGUGUCGACACUGUACAUCUCCACGGCCAGCGGGUCGUCUUCGAAGUCGCAGGCACCGCCGGCCACGACGACUUUGUCUCCGACCAAGGCGACAACGGGGUCGGUCCUCCACACGCGAGGGGCGUCCACGUGGUGCCAGGCGAGAUGGAGGGGGUCAAAGGAGAAGGAGAGCUUGGAAGGCGAGAGGGUGUAGAGAAGCGUGGAAUGGGAGGAGCGGAGGAGGAAGUCGAAGGACGAGGGUUGAUUGUUCUUGAUUUCGAUCCACACGUGGGAGCGGGCAUCGUAAGCGUGCGCGGUUGUGAGGUAGGGGGCCAUAGUUCUCUGCGACUGCGUAUGCAGCAGCAGCCAAGGCUUGAUUUUGUUGACGCGACGGAGAGAAGAGAAGACGGCGCGGUUCCAUGAUCUAGACACGUAACAAGCAGAGGCGAGGUCGAUCAGUGGCACCUGCGACAGUAUGGCCUCUAAGAUGUCUCCAUGGACAAUACUAUUAUUAGUAUUGCUGCCACUAUCACCUUCUGGGGCUACUGCUUGUUUAUCCAUUUUCGAUUGUAUUCUUCGUUUCAGCAAAUCCUCUUCUUCUUUGACUUUAUAUAGGCUAGGGGGAGUGGCGUGAAAAAAAUUUAUGACGUAAUCCAAUUAAUUCAUGCACAGAAUAAUUAAAUUUAAUAUAAUUAUCACUUAUAUAAUAAUUUUUAAAAAUAAAUAAAUACAUAUUAUAAUAUUAUAUAUUUAUUGUAUAACUGAUAUAGUAAUUCUGAUGUAUUAUAAAAUUUCUCAAUUACACGAUUCUCAAAGUGGGUUGAACAAACAUACACGCGAUUCAUUUAUUUAAAUAAGAUUGAUUUUUCUUACCAUAAGAUGGUGGAGAAAAAUCUAAUACCUGCUUUUCUUCUCCGUAAUGUUAUGUUGUUGGUUGUGUAUAUAUGUGAAUAUAUGACUCAUCAUAUAAUGGCUAUAAGUUAACACUUACCUAAUAUUACACUUAAUAGAUUUUCUUUUCCACUUACAUAUUUAUAUUUAUAUUAUGACGGAAAUUCUAAUUCAAGACAAGUAGAUAAUAUAUAUACACUCAUUUAUGCUGCUCAAUUGGGAGUAUUCAUUAUAUAUAUAUAUAUAUAUAUAUAUAUAUAUAUAUAUAUAUAUAUAAAAGUGCCAUUAGAGUAUAAAAACAGUUGGUUUGAUCACCUCUUGCAGUGAAAACGAUUAAUGUUAAAUGUUUAAAUUGUGCAUAAAAAUUAAUUUUCUCGUGCACCAAAUUUAAAAGUGAAAUUUAUAAAUAAAUAAAAAAGUUUUGUUUAGUACAUGAAAUUGGGAGUGAGGUUAGCGUGUUGGAAAAAUAAAAUUAAAAAAAAUAAUUAUUAUAAUAGAUUGCAGCGCAAUGUUCUCAAUAAAUAAAUAAUUCACCACUAGAUAUACGUGCUACUUCAAUAAGUAAAUCUUUCACCUAAAUUUCUAAAAAUAAAUAUUAAAUUAUUUUUUUUUUUAAUUUUAAAAAUUUAAAAACCAUAAUUUUUUUUAUCCUUAUAAAAUUUCAGUAUUAAAUAAAUAAAUAAAAUACUUGAAGAACAUCAAUAAGAUAGUGUUUUAUCAUCACACAAAUCAUGUUUUGUUGAGUACAACCCCUUUAAUUUUUUAAAUUGGAACAAGUUAAUCAAUUGUAGUUUAUGAGGUUUUAUAUAAAAAAAUAUUCACAAAAAAUUAUAAAGAUAAAUAGUACAAACGUUUGAAGAAAAUAUAAAGAUAAAAAUAAUUAUAAUCCAUUACUAUAUUAUCACAAGUUUUAGAGAUGAAUAGUAGUGUUUAUUAGUAAGUUUUACUUUGGUAAAGAAUGAAAUUAAUUAAUUAGAUAGAAGAAUUUUGAGAAUUAUCUUUUAAUGAUGUUAUUCACACAUUUUAAAUUAAGAAAAAAUUAGUUUAAUAAUUUAAUGAAUAAAAAUUUCAUUAAAUUGAAAAAAUAAGUAGAUUUAAUGACUUGAUUGAUUGGAAAUAAGUUAAUUAAGUCAUUAAAUCAGAAAACAACAGCCCCUUAAUUACCCCAUCUUUUAUUUAUUUAUUUAUUUUAUUGUCUUUUUAGGCCGACUACAUUGCGGCCAUGUUGUUUGUUGUAAAAUAAUAAAAUAAAAGACACUAGAGAUUUUUAAAUUUUCAAUUGCAGUGAUGCUCCUAGAAGCCGCAGUUUGAUUCUCCAGCACCUUUCUGGGACGUCGGCAUGAAAGCAAUUUUCCAAACUUACCAAUUUGGACAAAUAUAAUUAAAGUCUUCUUUAUUGAUGCAAAUGCGACACAUACAAAUAUGACAUGAGCAACCAACUCGAAUUGCCACCUAUACCGUUGUCCAUGUGUGGUGCUAGUGAGUGAGGAAAAAGAAUAUAUUAUAUUUAUUUCAAAUUUAUACUUUUAAUUAUUUUGAAAUAUAGUAACUGUUUAGAUUUUUUUUUUUUUUUUUUAAACAUUGUCUCAGCUAAGUUGAUGAAGUAUAUUAACUGUGUGGAUGUGUGGUAAUGACUUUUUAAAAUGUUGGGGUGGGAGUAACAAAUAUCAAUUCAUUUAGUGUGCGAUUAAUUUGAAUUAUUCUUUCAUUUUAGGGACAAAAUCUCAACAAAAAAUAUAAAAACCUUUUCUCAAACAAACAAAAAUGAUUUUGUAGACUUAUAAACUAAUUCUUUAUUAUUAUUGAUGAAUUAAUAUAUUUUUUAUUAUCUGAUCAAAAUAAUUGAUUAUGUGUUAAUAAAAAGUUGUGUUACGUAAAGAUAAUAAACAUUAAGUACAUAGAACAUGAAAUUAAAUUCAUUUCUAAAAUUCUGUAAAUUUUAUACACUUUAGAUGGUAAAAUCGCUUGUAUUAAAAAUAAUAGACAUUGAGGUUCGAACCCUGCUCAUAUGGAUGGAGAGGUGAUCGGAUAGCCAUUAAGCUAAAUAAAAAAAAAAUCAUAUCUAUAUUUAUCAUCAAUUAUAGUUAGUAAAUAAUAUAUAUAUAUAUAUAGUUUUACUAUAUAUUAGUUAAUAAGAAAAAUUAUUAAUUUGACUAUAUUAGUAAGGGCUAUCUUGGUAAUGCUGCAUCUUUUAAAAUAAUUGUUAUCAGCUGUCCUGUAGAAAUAAUCAACUGUGAAGAGAAUCAAUUAAACACUUAAUAAAAUUUAUUUUCAAAAGUACUGUGCGUUUUAAAAGCAGUCGUACAUAUUUGGUAAAUUUUAUUGUUAAAUUGUUGUGAUAAUAUAAAUAACUAAAGUAUACAUGAUAUUGAAUAAAAUUUAUUUACACAUUUAUAAACUUAUGUAUAAAAUUAUUUUUUAUCACGUAUAUAUAAUAAUUGAUUACUAAUACUAUUAAUUUAUUUUUUUAUUUGAUUAUCUCGAUGUAGUUGACAAUAAUAACACUCUUUAAAUUUAAUAAUUUUAUUUUUUAAAUAUUAGAAAUUAUUUUAAAUUUUUAUAAUAUGCACAAGAAUAUAUAUAAAAUUAUAUUGGGUAUAAAACACACGUUAACCUUACUUCAAAAUAACUCUGAAUUAUUUAUUAAGAGUAAACACGUGAGGCAUAUUCUAUGAAAUUUUCAUUUAUCUAUUUUAUUUUAGGUACUAUCACCAUACGACGGCCCCUGUUAUAGUACUCGAGGUGAACUAUAUACUAACAAACAUAUAAUUUUGUUCUCUUAUUUUUUUGUAUUUUAAUUUACACGCAAAAAUUACAGAUGAUAAAUAAAAAUGAGUUCAAUGAAUUUAUUUUACAGGGAAAUAUUUAUCAUCCCGCUUUUAUGUGUAAUAUCAGGCGCGAAUUCAACAUAAAUAUUUAAUGGUGUAGACUGUAUCGUGUAUUACUAUGUAGUGUUUCGGGGCAUCGCGCCAAUUUCGGUUACGGCGUCGCUUUCAGCGGGUUAUAUAUGUAAUCCAACUGCGUGAAAUUUGGACCACUGUUUGAUUUUUUGUGUUUGAGAUUAGGCUUCUUAAUCUUGAAACUGGGGCAGGUCAAUUUAAUUUCAAACAAUUUUGAGCAACAAGUUUCAGUGGACGGACCCACCUGGGUUGGUGAGGGCAUUUUCCUUUUAAUGUAUGUCCUCCUUAUCUGCUUUAUUGUGUUGUUGCCACGUGACUUGAAAAUUGGAAUUAAAUUAAAUUUUGGAUUCGCCCAGGGACGUCGACAGUGGUACCCAUAAGAAUUAAUUACGGUUUCGUGGACUUUUUAGAAAAUUUGGAUUCUCUUUUCUCGGCAGUCGUCUUAGGAAAGAGAGAAUUUUAGGAUCAAAAUUUUGAAAAACGAAAUGGAUUUGAAAAUCUUCGUAAUCCAAUUAGUUGACGGAUAUCGUGUUACUUACUACUUAGAUAGAAUCCGCUGGAAUUAAUAUUAUUACUUCGGAAUUGUGACAUCGCUCUCGUCGAUUUUAAGAGCUUGAGAUAUUUAAUUAGAGCAUGUGCAUGGUGCAUGCAUGGAUAGAUAUUUAAUGUGAAGUUAUCAGUACAACUCAACUCAUUUCUGCUCGCAUCUACGCUGAGAAGAAGAUGAGGUUAAGAACCGUCUCAUAAAUAAAAGAUGGAUAUGUACAUAUAUAUAUAUAUAUAUCUCAUUGAAGAAAAUGAAAGGAUAAAGAUGGCAUUAGAUGUCAUUCUCCACACAACGAGUGUAUGGUUCGUGCAUGAGGGCUCAGAAAACCUUCAAUAGUUUGGAUACAUUUAGAUGAAAAGGCCAAACAAAAGAUUAUACUUAAAAUUUUCACAAAUCAGACUGGAGCCUCUAUUUACAAAGAAAGACCACUCUAAAUGCUCGAUCUUGUCAGCAUUUAAUUAUUUUACGAGUUUAUAUGAAUCCAAAAUCCCGGUUUCUCUUAGUCAUAUAUGAGAAAAAUUAGUCAAAAUUUAAGUUAUGAUUUUUAUAUCUUUCACGUGUUGUCAUCUCUUUGAUCCGGACCCCGAGCAACACAAAAAUAUUCUUUCAUGUAUUUUUACUAUAUUUUCUGAACACACGAUGUGGUAAGAAGUUAUAUGUUUUAACACUUACAGUUACAAUAUUAUUCCAACUUUUAGUUAUGCUUUUUUACCAUCUGUAUGAAGGUAUAAAAAAAAAAAAAAAAGUGAAUAGUUAAGAGUUAUAAGAGAUUAUUAGUCCCGGUCAUUCUUAUUUCUCAGAACUCAUGGCCAAAUAUUAUUGCGAUUGAUAAUUGAGAAUAAACCAAGAGACAGAAAGGUAGAGAAGAGUCCAUUUCCUCGGUUGGAUUUUGAAAUUGAUUUGUGAUGCUGCAAGCUUGUUUUCGUGGCUAAAAAAGAAAGUAGAAUGCUAACGAUGGACAUUAGAAAAAUAUCUAUAACUCUAGUAGGUUCCCCUAAUUUAUGGGAAAAAAAAAAAAGAAAAUGAUUUCUUGCUUUGGUUGAGAUGCCGCAAACUUGGACUGAAUUUCCUUAUUUUAGAUUUAAAAAUUGUCCACAAGUCGAGCAAGUCCAAAGAUAGGAGAUAAAGAGAUGGGUUUUCAUAUAUUUUUCCAUCUAUACGAAUUAUAUUCACAAGACCCUCAAUAAAACAACCAAUCAAAAAUAUUCUGAUUCGUCUUUUGCUAGUUCUAAAAGUUGUUACACACUUCGCUAGAUAGGCCAGCACGAUAAUAGUUUACUUGGGUCAAAUUCGGUGUGCCCAAAUUUUCCGAGUUGGGAUCCUGUAAACACUUGACUUUACGCAAGUGCCUAGCCCUUUGUUUCUACCAUUGCAAUGCUACUCGUUCAAAGUGGGAUGACGCCAGUUGCAGCUGUUGUUGCCUCCCAUAAACCUUUUACAAAAAUUUAUUUUCAUCAUCUACUAAACAAAGUGGAAAAAGGAGAGGGAAAAAAAAAAAAAAAAGGUAAAUGAAGAAGGUACAUAAUAGUGGGCCUCAAUGCGAACAUAAGAUGAAGGAAAGUUCAGAUCAUAUAGGAAAGGCAAACACGUCGUUUUAAAUUAGUAGCAAUAAAUUAUAAAAGCUGUAGUGGAUACUAAAAUAAUAGGACCUCCGUGUGAUUCGUAAAUAAACCAAAUUGUUGUACCAGCAAAAUGAAUUCCCGUUUGUGAUUAAGUAAUAUACUCAUUUACCAUUGAGUUUUUGGUUCAGUAAAAGAAUCCUUGCACUUAUAAUAGUGAGAGCAAAAAUUUGAGUUUCCAUAAAAAUUUUAUAAAGUUUAAUUUCAACUAUCUCUCAAUUAUUGAAUAAUUGAGUAAAAAUAAUCUAUUCUUUACGAAAUAUGAAUGGAAUAAACACCUCUCAAAUAUUAAAGAGAGUAUAAAAAAUUUAAAUAGUGGACAAUGAUUCAAAAAAUUGAUAUAUACGACAUGAGAAAGUUUCAAUUGUAUAAUUUAAUUGUAAAUAUUAAUUAUAAUAUAUGAUAAAAUAUUAAUAAUAAUCUUCUGUAUAACCGAAUUUUUUUAUUUAAAAAAAAAAAAAAGUAUUGUAGGUGAUUAAUCUUAAAGGUUGCGCAGUUUCUGCCGAACAGCCACGCGCCAUGAGCCACCUGUGAUUUGUGAAAAGAUAAAGCCAACGGGGCUUACAAGGUAUGUAAACAAGCAAACAGACCACACAUUCAUUCAAGCAUGAAGACCAAUAUGAGUUAGAAGGCUACUUAAUCUUUUAUUAUGGUGACACUACAGACAGAGAUCAGUUUUUCAUCCUCAUUAACCAUAUUUUGAACUAACAUUACAUCCUGAGGUAUCUGAUACAGCGAAAUUGGUACAAAGUAAUGAUGAUGGAUACUAGAAAUUUGCAAUGACAAUGGCGUGAGUGUGAAGCAUUGAAGAAAGGAGUUGAUAGCUCAUGCAGCAGCGCUAAUGCACUCAAUAGCCUGUUUGCAUAUGCCAGUCAUUGUUGCUUCGGGCCCAUAAACCUAUAAGAAGAGAGGUUAUUUUCAUUUUUCAAUCACAGGUAGAGAGGAUAUGUUCUGAAAAUUUUAGGUCAAAUAUACCUCAAUGGGAAGGCCAAUUUCCUCUGCCAGUGCUCGCAUUUUUGCAAGGCCCCUCUGGUAAUUAGGACCUCCUCUCCUCACAUAUAGGUGCAUUCUUGCUGCUUUCAGCUUCGAUUCCUGAGCAAUAAAAAUUUCGUCAUGAAUUUUCCACGUCAAAAAUGAAAGCGAUGAAGUAAUUAAGCCCAGCAAUCUACCUUUUCCUUCAGGGCUUGGAUUAUGCCAUUGAAUGUAGCUGCAACAUCAGUGAAGUUAGCUAUUCCUCCUCCAAUCACAAGGGCUCUCUUGCGACCAUCAGGAUCUGCAGUUGCACACUGCAAAACAAUUAUGUGUUUAGUUGCACAGCAAAGAAGGUGUCUGAUUAAACAUCUUAAAAUAUGUUCCAAAUGUUCAUUUAACAUUUGGCAGCCUUUUAUUUCCUUCCUAUUUAAGCAUUCACUAAGUAUGCAAGAGUUAGCAUUAGUCGGUCACAAGUAAUAAAAUGAAGUGCCACCUGUAGAGUACUAUAUAUCACUACAAGACCAAAACCAAGAGGAGAUGUCCAUACAUCAAUUACAACUCUGGCAUAUUGCAAGACCUCCCCCUCGUUGGGUGCUCCACUGUAUUCUGCAUAGUUACCGAGCUCUGAGGCAUAGCCAAGAUCUCCAACCUGAUUCGGCAAUAAUCAUUCAUAAACAAAUUAAAAGCUAUUGGGAUGAGAAAACACUCAUUGUUAACAGAAAAUUUAAUCCUCUCCCCUGAGUAGAAUGAGAACCCAUACCGUAUCAGCAUAGAUGACACUUGCACCUCCUCCAGCUACCAUAGUCCAGAUUCGUCCUUUUGGGUUCAAAACUGUGAAUUUCAAAGAUGCACUUGUCUGCAAGCAAAAUAUAGAAAAUGUUAUAAACUUUAUGUAAGGUUCACAGGAUGAAGCUAUUAAAAGAAAAAAAAUUGCAGUUUAUAGAGUUGUUAUAAAGGAACACACAAGCAGAUCAGCAAGGAUUAUUCAAUGAUGAAAAUUCAGACAAUAGAAACUAGAACCACAGACAAGCAGAUAUUUGGACGAAAUCUAUACAGUUAACAUAAUUCUCAACACUCAAUUAUGGAUUCAGGUUGACUUGGAUAAGUUAAGAAUGUUAAUUUAUCACAAAGAAACGAGAAAACUUAAUAUAUAUGACUCAAAAUUUUCCUUGAAACAAGGUGAUCAAAAGAGAGAGCAGAUUUCAUGUAGAGGUCAGGCAUAUAUCAAGCUGUGGUACCUUUUCAUCUAGAUCAUGUAUAAAGCUUUCUGUAGCACUCAUUGCUCUUCCAAACGGCAAGGGAAAUUCAAUAUUGCCCCACCUGCCAAAAGCAAAGUGUCAUUAGAGGAUACCAAAUGUGACAAGGUGCAUGUUAAAUACACUAGUUAGUACCAAGCAUUUUAUGUGGGAAAUACUCAUGGAAAAGAAUCUACUUUUUGAAGUUCUUGAAAGCAGCAGUGUCAUCCAGCUCUCCUCUCAUAUCCAAUGGAUAAGGCUUUCUAUCAACCAAUGUAAAAGGAUUCAUCUCAAGGAAAGUGAAGUCAAGAUCUAGCAAAUACAAACUUGGGAAGUUAAUGGCCAAUUCUAGCAAUGAAUAUAUUUAUCAUUGCAGAUUCUGAAUACCAUGAACUAGUCAAACAUCUAUAAAGUACCUUGAAAAAGAGUGAAAACUGAUUUAAUGAACUCCUGAAUUUCUCCUCUGAUCUGGUUACACAAGCAUAAUUCAUGUUACUUAUUUCAAAAUAUAUCCUAAAAUCAUUGAGUGUCAACAAAGAGUAAACAACCUUUCGGUGGUAAUGAGUUAAGUGAUUGAAAAGUAUGUAUGAUAUAUUACAUUGAUGGUGCACUAAGCUACAUCAGGAAUAGAUUUUCUUUUUAUUUUGGGUUUAUAAAUAUUGGAGAGAAAGGGACUUAUAGACAAAGGGGAUCUUCUUUUGGACAAAUAAUAUUUUGAAAUCAUAAUGGGUAUCCCAUAUAAUACUUAUUCCUUUAAUACUUGCUUCUGUUUUGGCUAAAUAUCUAAGGAAACUCAUUAUACGUAAUUGUUUGUCUAAUGCUAUUUGGGGGAAGAGCGUGGGAAUAAAGCAGCAUUGAGAACUUAAAGUUCAGGAAAGGAUAACCAACUAGAUCAAUUACCUCCAAGGGAAGAGUAGCAACAAGCGGAGCCGAGGUUUCAGAAGCAAGGCAUGCACCUGUUGGGACAAAGAUAGUCUUAACCUGGACAAAAGAUAACACCAUUCUAAUAUUAUGAUUCUGCAGGGUAAUUAAUGCAGGAGAUAAAAGACAAAACAUAAUAUGGCUAACAGAAAAAAAAAAAAAGGUUACAUUCCUAAAUACCUUAUCCCAGUUCUCCUCAAUUUCAAUUCCUCCGCAUUCUGAAAAGCUUACGCUGCAUCCAAGUCGCUCUGAGACAAUAUUAAGGUAAAACUCCUCAUUGUGCGGGAUGAAAGGUUCAAUGAUGAAUGUUGUUAUGGGUCCUUUACAUUCACUCAUCUCCAUCUGCAAAACAAGAUAGUAAAGUGUAAGCUCAAUGCUUUAGUGUCAUGUACAGCUAACAAAACAAACGAAAAAGUCUUAGCUGAAACGGAAAAACAUUAUGAAAACUAUGAUUCCAGCAGAAAUAUACCUCUUUCCCAAGGCACUCUUUCACAAAAGUAGCAGCUUGAGCUAAAUCCAGAUUUAAAGCAACCAAACCACUCUUCCCACGCUUUCCAAACAACAUGUCGGGUUUCACAACUAGUUUACAUGAUGUAAGCCAGGGUUCCUUUUGUGCCAGCUCAUCGAAAUUAGUUGACUCGGUAACCUAAAGGACAAAAACACACCGUCGAAACUCAAUAUAUAAAACAACAUAACCACAACUGCCACGACACAAAUCACCAAUCCAAGAUUUUACUAAUUCUUUUAAAUAGACCUAAAUCAUAAAAGACCAAUAUGUAGAGAUGCUUCUAAUCCAAAUGGAUCUAGCUUCAUAUAACAGAUUUUUAUAAAUCUCUACGUGAAACUGAAUCAUGCAGGCAAAUAAAGUAACAGCUAAAGUUAAAAUCUAAAUCAUGGAUAUAGACACAAUAUCCUCAAAAAUUUUAAGAACUCAACAAAAUUCGAAACUUACAAGUAACACAUUACAACGAGUACACAACAGAGGCUCAAAAUAAAUAAAAAAACAUCCGAAAGUCGAAAAGCCAUUAAACUGCGCUCACUUGUGCGGAUUUGAUAGGCAACUCGCGACCAGAGAGCCUCUGGAAGUGCUCCUUCAACAAUCUCUUCGAAUCAUACUCUCUGAUCUUCUUGCGUGCCAUUUCUCAGGCCUGAUUUUCACCAAAACGACAAGUCUGACAGAUCCACAUUGCAAGAUCAAAUUCAAAUAAAUUUCAGAGCAUAUCAGAUAUCAAAUUAACUAAACGAAAAUACCUUUCGAAAAUAGGCAAAAACGACAGCGCAACAGAUAUAUUUUUCUGAGCAGGUAGGAAGCGGAGAACACAACGCUUGAAGCUUGAAUGUUGAUUUGGUGUUAGAAGCGAAUUUGUUCGAGUAUUUAUAUCAACGAGAACUUUUUUUUUUUUAAUAAAUUUUUAAAAGAAAUCCGAAAAAUGAGUCGGAUGUGAGUGGUAGUUUGUGCACUUUAGCGGGAACGAAUUAGCGAACUACCUACACGCUGAACGACACGUGCUGUACGGGCACCCUUCUACCUGUUCAUAAAAAUCGUGUAUAUUGUGGAUCUGAUCAAGUGUAACGCCGAGUAAACAACAAUUUUUGUACAGUUGCAGUAUGUAUGGAUCACCGUUGAUUUAUUCUACUUUUUGACUGAUGUGGAGUCGAGGGUUUUUAAAACGCUACCGUCCAAAUGUGGGAACUUGUUACUUGUUAGGUAACAAAUUGGUUGUGCUGGUUUGAGUCUCAUUGCUUUUAUUCGAAGCAGAUUACAAGGAGCGGCAUCUGGCCUUGUACUAUGGAUGCAGCCUGUCUUUGUCGCAUGUGUCGCGUGUUUUUAUUUUCACAACUGUUGAAUUUUUAUUAAAUAACGUUAUAAAAAUUAUGUAUUUUAUAUUAUUAUGUAAAGUAACUAAAGUUUUGUUUUAAUUAUUUAAUUUCUGUGUACGGAAAGCACAGGUUUCCGUUGGUAACGGACCUCUCUUCACGGUAUAUAUAUAUUUAAAGUUUUGAAUUUUAAAAAUUUAACUAUAGAUCAAUAGCAAACAAAAGAUUUGUUGCUAAUGAUAUUAAUAUUAUUAUGUAGAACUCAUGAAAAAUAUUUUAACAAUAUUAAAUCUGAUGUCAACAAAUGUAAAAAAAAAUUUAACCAAAGCAAUGAUAGUCGGUAGUACAUUUUGCCGACGGCAAUAAUCAAUUACAGGUGAUAGUUAAAUGUCACUAAUAAACUUAUUAAAUUAAAGCUAUUAAAAUACAUUAAAUAAAUAAUUUAAAAUUUUAAAAAAGGAAAAAAUACAAAUUAGGUGAGACCCAAGCGAGCGUGGAUCUCAUUUUAGUGCAUAUAAAAUAAUGCAGGCCCUUGUGUUCACUAAAUAUAGUGCAAUCAAGUUUGUACAUAAUCAAUAAGCGCAUAGAUUAGUUGAUAUAUGGCUGUUUUAACUUAACUAAGAUCUUCAAUUCGAGUCUUGAAAAUAUAGCUGAAUUAAAUAGUUAUUGGAAGAGUUUUGCCAUCCUGAUGGUACAGAAUGCCAAACACACCCUUUAUUUAUGACAUUGACUUAGAUAAUUGGGUUUUAGCAUUAAAGAUUGACAACUAAGAAUAAUUUGUAUGAAGAUUUGCUCCCUUUAUAUUAUUAUGCUAUUUGUUUUGUUCAAGUAAUACUCUCUUGUUCCCAAUGUUGAGGAAUUGAGAUUUCUUUAAAUGACAAAUGGGUCGAUGAUAUUUUAAUAAAUUGUGGAAUUAUUAUGUAUUUCAGCUGUCAUAGUAUCUCAUAUAUCAUUCAUUUAUUAGGUUGUAAAAAUAAUAUAUUAAUAAAUAACAAUAAAAUAGGUUAUUUCCAUGCACGUGACAACAAAAUAAUUGCGAUAAUAAUUAACAAAAAUGAUUUUAGCAACAUAUUUGUUUCUUCAACUGGCUUAUUAAAUAUAUUGUUAAAAUAUACAUUUUAUGUUUUAACAAAUAUAUUAACUAAUUUUAAUUUUAUAGAGGCAUUUAAUAAUGUAUUUUUUAUUUUUUUUUUGGUUAGUAGUUUAGUAUUACGGAUGAAAUUUGUCAUUAUUGAUCCAAGUGACAAAAAAAAAAUUCAGCAAGGGAUGAAAGUGUGAUGCUCCCAAUUGGUUUUAUUGUAUUGCUGACAAAGUGAGACUUAAAAGGAUUAUUUUCGUUUAAUUUAAUGCAGACGAUUUCUGAAUGUUGACGUCCAGUACAAGGUAGAUAAAUCAUGACUAAAGUAGUGGAUUUUCCAAUAUUGGUAUCCAUUUGUUUUUGAGAGAGGUGCUGCACAACGCACACCUGCAGGCUGCAACAACACAACGUGAAUCAAAAUGUUGUGGCCACAUCUCCACUGAAACGAAAAGAUUUAAAGUUUGGCACAUACAAUAUAUUUUCUCAAGAAGUUUGGCCCACGAUUAUUUGUAUUAUUUUUCUCGGUCAAUAAAUGAUCACGAUAAUAUAAUUUAAAAUAGUAAUGUUUCAUCAACGAAAUAGAAAACAAACUUUAUACCUCACCUUCGCAAGUUUACUAUUAUUUGUGAAAUAAAUGAGACGACAAUGUAUUAUAUGUGGAGAUAAAUGAGACGAUGAUUUAUUUUAGCUCAACCCAAAAAAAAUGAAAAAAAAAAAAAAGAGGCAGCUCAUGGUUAAAAGGGGAACUUGAUUUUGGUGGUUCACUAUAAGGUUACCAACUCAACUACAGAGUAUACACUCGAAGUUUUCAGAUAAAGUAGGGUCUAAUAAUAAUAAUGAACGAAUAUUCAAAUUUGAAGAAAACGGAUGGGAAUAUGCUUGAGGAUGGUAUAAUCUCUCCCUUUCGAUUUGAGAGCCAUAGAGCAAGAGUAUUUUUAAAAUUAAAGGAGGUGCGAAAGAGAUGGCAGAAAAGCCCAUCCGGACUAGAUUCGGACCGAACCCAGCGCAUGCGGUCCAGGUAAAACUCGGACCGAAUGCAUGAAAAAAGCGGAUCCGAGCAUUGAAAAGCUGUUUCCGGGCACGGGUCCGGUCACAGCACCAAGAACCCGGAACUCAGACUCGUGCCCUUUUUUUUAUUAAGUAAAAAAAAAAGAGGAAAAUAUAAAAACGAAAAUUGAAUUUUCCUUUGCCCAAUUUCCCCCAAACCCAACCGGCCAACCCUAAAUCGAAAAUUCGCGACAAGUCUCAGAAUCGGCACCUCCUCAGUCCUCCCUCCGUCUCUCCACCAACGGCCACCACCCAUCUUCACCGAUGGCGAUGCAGUAUUGACAGUUGACCGCGCCUCUCCCUCCAUGAACCGCAAAGCACAGUCGUCAGCCCGUCAAAGAGCUCUUCACUGUUUGGUCAGCUUCUCAGCGGCAGCCACCACGCGACGACGUCCGCCACCGUAGUUGGUCUCACACUCUCACUCCAUUGUUUUGUCACCAUAUCAGCUACAAGCCUGCAACCCUGCCAUCACAGCCACGACCCACGAGGUAAUUUUUUUUUUUUUGGCUGCUCAUCUUUUGUAGAAACAACUAAAAGACCUGCACAACAAUUUGUAUAGCAAUGUCUAACAUACGAUCCAAAUAUUAUGCAAAGAACAAAAAAUUAACAUUUUGAACCACUAACAUCCUAGGCAAAAAAACAAAAUAGAUCAGAACUGUUGAGCAUAAUACUAGAAUAUGAAAAAGCAGAGAGAGAACUUCACAACAAAUUUCAAAUGCUCACAAGCAACAGGAUGGUCAAAAGCUUCAUGCUUUGAAUUCAUCAUCACUCAAAUCUGGGUAGAAAAAACCCGAAAAAAAACCCGUGCUUGGAUAGUGCCAGGCAUGUGCCCGGCCCGCAUAGAAAAAUUUAAGGCAUGGUGCGGGUCCGAGUAGCUACGUGUGACAUCCGGGUCGGUCCCGGGUAGCCCCAAACCCGAACCCGACCCGGACUUUUGCCAUCUCUGCGAUCAUCAAAAGAGUUUAAAAUGGCCUAAAUUUGUGUAAUAUUUUUUAAUGAGUUAAAAUCUAUAUAUUUACAAUAUAAGAUCUAUUAAGAAUUUAAAUUUAAAAUAUAUAUCAUCUAAUAGGUGUGUAUUAUUUAUAUAUAUAUAUAAAAAUAUAACUAAUCUCACUAAUAUUAAAAAAAAAUACAUAUACCCUCGCGCCCCAAUCAACGGACGGGCGGGGGAUCCCUUUUAUUAUAUGGACUGUCAGAGUUCCUUCAUAACCCGAGCCACCUAAGUGAGGACAUUAUUAAGUUCGCCAUCCGGGGAAAGGCAAAAUUAACAGCCCAGGAGGAUCUGCGUCGUGAGCUAAUGGGCCACGCUUAAGGAUGUAAAGCCCAUAAUGUCUCAUAGCGGUCGCUUUUUCUCGCGUUCUCUGCAAGUUAUUACUGUGUGUGUUUGUUUACCUUGAGAGGGUAUUAUGGUCUCUGAAUAUAUAUGUCCUAUUUAGGUUACUUUUGAACAGUUCAGAGAGUUUGGGUUAUCGCUUCAAAUUAAGCCCCGUUUGUCUUCAGUUGGUUCAGGCAGACAAGUGCGUAGGAUUUUGAAUCUGCGAGUGUGACGGAGCGUUCCGUAUGUUAUCGUUCGUAAUGUGGAAGUUACCAGAAGGGAUGGAACAGUGGAAGAAGGAAUUAGAGGAGUGGUUGAAUCGUGGAAUUGAAUUUAUCAACCAAAUUCCCCCAACUCAGCUCUACAUCGCUUGCGCCGUUUUGCUCCUAACCACCGCUCUUCUCUUACUACGUGAGUCCCAUUAACACUACUCACUUUUAUUCUUCGUAAUCGCUUCGAUUUUUCAAAAUUAUGCUUCCGCUGAUCUUUAGGGAUUUAUAAUUUCAUUUGAAUUCUCAAACUGCGCUCACCUUGGAUCAAUUAUGAUUCUUUUGUUGCAUUCUCCGAUUAAGCAACGAAUUUUCCAAAACCAUCUUUUAUUUUAUUUUUGUGUAAUCAUUGCAUUAACUUUUUUUUUCCCUCCUUUGGGGUCACCUGUUUGUACAAUGGUUUUUUAAUAUUGUUUAUAAGAGGAGAAAUAAAAUGGAUAGUCUGGAAUAUCUUGGAUGUUAAUGUGCUCAAUGGCUUGUUUUACCUUGCAGUUCAAGUGUUCAGACGCAAGAAAUCUACUACCAUUGUACUUGCUGGCUUAAGCGGGAGUGGGAAAACUGUUCUGUUCUAUCAAGUAAGUGUAGUUGAUUAAUUUUUUCCUUUCAGCUACUAGUGGAAAAUCUGAUAAUGGAGCUAGGUGCAGGUGUUUGAAUUAUUCCUUAUUGCUUGUGUUUUUACAUGAAUGAGCUCCGAAGUGAGGUUUGGCAGUGUUUAAGAAAGCUAGCUUACAUUCUUUUUAUCAGAAUUUUCUUAUCUUGAUCUCUUAGUCUUUUAAGGUUUACACAUACAAAGGCAUGCAUUCUUGUUGUUUUUCUGUCUGAGGUGUCUUGUUACUAGUUAUUUGACCUCCGCUGGCAGAUAUUGCCUUAAACUAGGCAAUACUAUUUUCGAUAAAGUAAGAAUGGGAAAAUACCUACAGUAAAUACAUAUGUACAGUGAAAUUCCAAAGGAACUGAAAAGAAAGAUGCAAUUGAUGUAUAUGAAUGCCAAAUUUAACUUUCUUUUAUCUCUUUGCAUUUCUCUCUAAUAUUUCUUAUCUGAAAAAGUAUUUGUUUUCCGGCAUUGAUUGCUGUGGGAAAUUUAAUCUUUGUCGAUUAAGCUGGUGAUGUGGUAUUGAAUUUUCUGGUCCAUGUGUGAGACAUAGAUGUUGAGUUGGCUGUUGAAUCUUGAAUAGAGUACUGAGGCUUGAUUUAGGAAACUAUGGAUUUGACUGAAUUCCACAACGUGGCCCUUCUGUUAAGUCGCUUUGCAGCAUUCUUUUCAUAUGAGAGGUUAGGCGUCCCAACGUUUAGGUUCUAAGCAUGUAUGCAGCUUAGAUCCUUAUAUGCAUAUGAAUCAAGAUUUUGUUAAUUAACUGGAAAUUUUUCAACCUUCAGGGCAGAAUAUUUAGAAUAUUGAUCUGAGUGUAUGGUGUAGAUUACUAGAUCUUUUGUCUUCUCCAUGAUUCUUAUUAUCAACUUCUUUCUAGUUUGUAAUAAAACUGCUUAUCUGCCAGUGCAAUGAUUAUUCUCUAUUUCACAAUUAUAAAAUCGAUAUGGUUGCCCAUUUGUGACUGCCACCUGGUAUGUCUUACAGAUGUUAAUCUAACUAUCAUGACAUGUAUUUAUGUGUCAGCUUCGGGAUGGUUCGACCCACCAGGGUACUGUUACAUCAAUGGAACCAAAUGAGGACACUUUUGUGCUACAUUCUGAAAGCACUAAGGUGAUGUAUCUUAUUUGGUCUACUUUUAUAUAUACAGAAAUAAGGGCAUUAAAAAGUUCAUGGUGUAUGAAUUUCAUUAUUCUCAAAUUAUGCUUCAUCUUCUCUAACAAGAAUUGAGCGGCAAUUUUUAUAUCCUUGACAGAAGGGGAAAAUAAAGCCUGUUCACCUUGUUGAUGUUCCUGGUCAUUCUCGUCUCCGACCCAAACUAGAUGAGUUUUUGCCUCAAGCAGCUGGCAUAGUAUUCGUUGUGGAUGCCUUGGAAUUCCUACCAAACUGUUCUGCAGCUUCUGAGUAAUUACAAGGCCUUAUAAUGCAGCUUUAGGAUGUCAUACAUUCAAUAUACACUUUUACAGUACAACAUGCUGUCCGCAAAGAUACUAUUUUUUUUUAUGGUUUUUGUGCAACAGGUACCUGUAUGAUAUUUUAACAAACUCAACUGUUGUCAAAAAGAAAAUUCCAGUUCUCAUCUGUUGUAACAAGACAGACAAAGUCACGGCCCAUACCAAGGAGUUCAUUCGGAAGCAAAUGGAGAAGGAAAUGUAUGUCUUCCUAAGUAUAUCUCUUUCUGGGUGUUUGAUAUUUUGGUUAAUUACUUUCUUACCAAUUUCCUUUCAAGUGUUUGGUGGGAUCUAAAUUAAUUAGGAUGUAUACUUGCAUAUUUGCAGCUAACAACCUGCAUAAAAUAUUUUGUCCCUCAAAUUGACAUGUAUAUAUAAUUGAUCAUUAAAUGAAAUAUGUACUUGUGGCAUGUUGAGUAACUCUAUGCUAUUUGUUGUUGUGUCACAUAUGCUGAAAAAUGUGAUCACUGAAGCAUUUGAAUAAAUUUGGCAUCCUGAAUCUCUGAUUUAAUUGUUUUUAUUCAUUUCCUGUAACCAUUUUACAGCGACAAGUUGCGAGCAUCCAGAAGUGCAGUAUCAGAGGCUGAUAUGACAAAUGACUUUACUCUUGGGAUACCAGGACAGGCGUUCUCAUUCUCUCAGUGCCAUAACAAAGUUUCUGUGGCUGAAGCUUCUGGUUUGACUGGCGAAAUAUCUCAGGUGGAACAGUUUAUCAGGGAACAGGUGAAGCCCUAGGCGGUAGUUCCAAUUCAUGAUAUCUAUGAACUUUUUGCAUUAAAGCUGGCUUGAGUAUAGCCUCAUGAUUGUUGCAAACGGCAAAGGAAGCUGAGAAAUCCAAGGCAAGUGGAGGAAACAAAAAAAAAAAAAAAGAGUAGUGGAGUGCAUUCUAGUUCUAAUUAGUGUUUUGUUAGUGGAUUUUGCUUAAACAAUGAGAGUUAUAAAUGGACAUUGCCUGGGUAAUUCCAGUGAUUUGUGAUCGAUAUACUUUUGUAUCUGAUGAUUACGGCAAUUGCAAAAAAACUUCAUUCCUGGAAAACUAACUAGUUAACAAACAGAUUUUUGCUUUCUUUUCUUAUCUAAGCGCCUUUGUGAUUUUGAAAAUCUUGGGGUACGUGUCGAAGAAUAGUUUAUGGUUAAGAUUUGAUUACCAACGUCAUUACCUCAUAUUUAGUCAUUGAGCGGUUGAAACAAACUAUAACCUCUGAAAUAAUUCACAAGUACAUAUUUACCCAAACGAGAAUUAGAAACGAAAUGAAUACAGCUGCGAAGGAAGAUUUUGAACAUGCUUCAUUCAUCAAUGUUCUUGCAUGAAUUGAAUCAAUAAUACUGAUGCGAGAAUCAGUACUACACCUGCCCCUAAGAAUUACAAACUUUACAGCCAUCAUCAGCAAUCCAUCAAAUAUGGGAAGGGCUUGAUUUAUUUAUUUCUCUCAAAAGAAAUGGUUUGACUAGGAUCUCUCAUUUCAGACAUCGAUAAGCCUCUGGGAAUGAUCUUGACAACCAAAGGUGUUUCAGCCUAAUUAUUAGAGCAAAAAUGCCGUAGCACGGGAGAUGCAUCAGCCCUACACCAAAAUACCUGCCCAUCAUGGCAAAACAGUUGGAUAAACAUUAGUAUUUAGUAGAAUUUAUUUAUUCUUUUUUAUGCAUUCAUCCGAUCUUCAAUCAUUGAACCACUAACAGUCUCCUGUUUAACGAAUGUAGAGGUGCUGCCAUUCUUUUAAUCCUUUUCAUUAAAGAAUCAAUGUCAACUACAUAUCAACAUGGCAAAGCACCGAAAAUAACAUUUCCUUCUGGCAAGGAAAAUAAUAUGCAUCCUCGUUUUGCGCUGUUGUGAAAUAUAUGUCUUGAUCACUAUAGCAAAUGUUUUGCAAUAAAAAGGAACAUGCAUGGGUUAGUAACAAGUUGGGAUUUUUUUUUUCUUAAUCUUCCUUUUAUGAUGGAUGUUCCAGAGAUGAGAGAAGGCAUAUCAUAAAAAUCAUACCUAUGGUCAUAAAUCAAUAUAUAACGCUGUCAGUAGUGGUUAUUUACAUACCAUAAGGGAGCAAAUGGGGAUGACAAGUCAAGAAAUGCAUAAGGCCACCUGUAAAAAAGCGUGACCUUAGUACGAGCCCUUGAGUAAUUUUCUUUCAUGUAAAUAAGACAAUAACUUUAAGAAAUAUAUUACCAAAUUGAAACACAAGCAUGAACGAUCCACUGGAAAAUGACAAAGAUAACCGUCCACAAAAUAAAAUAGGCAAUUCGAAACAGAGGGAACCGCUGAAAGAGAAGGUUUCAUUAAUCAGAAAAAAUGCUUAGAAGAGAAUAGGAGAUCACAAGGCAAAAAUAAUCAACGUACCAAGCAAUUUAAAAUUGUGUCUCCAAGAAGGAAAACGGCAUUGACUGAAUGCAUAGAAACAAUCAGCUGCAGUUGGAAGGUUAGCACAGUUAUCAAAUGAAGGGGCUUUUAUGUGAGAGAAAAGCAAUUAAACUCAUCUUGUAUGAAUAGAGAGAAUGAAGGCUCUAAUGUAUGAAUAGACCUGCUAGGUUUUCUAUGCCCUUCUUUCAUAGCCAAAACCGAUUAAAUGGAAAAGGAAAAUGAAGUAAGAUGUCUCCUAAAUUGUACAACACACACAAUUAAACAACUCCUCUACAAUGGUUGUUCACUGGUUCAACAACUGGAGGAAAAUUAUAAGAUUGCAUAGAAAUAAUUAAACAUCUAAAGGAUACAUGCUAAUGGGAGUUCUAAAACAGACUAGUCACAUCAAAAACUGUCUCCAUGUUCAGUCACAAAUCUUCCUUGAAGGGAUUAUAUUCGAGGUUACUUCAUGCAUUUGCCCUGUGGUUGAAAUUUGAUAGCUACUGUCAGCUCAUUCCCCACACCAUCCCGUGACUCACAAUCUUCUUUCAAGUUAAACACAGGCUGACCUCAAAUGAUGGUAAAUCUUUAUAGUAACAAAAUUUGCACUAUUAGAAUGUCAAUUUCUAUUGAGGGAUUUGACUCCCUGUACAGUUGAAUAUGGAGGUCAACAGAGGGAAGUAAAUGAACACAUUGGACAAUAAGCUAGUAGUACUUACAAAAUUCAGACUGAAAUCUGCUGAUGUUAAAAAUGGAUAAAUAAUGAGCCAAAAUACGGAAUCGGUGAGCAUCACAGCUCCAGCACUCGUCUAUUCAUCAACACAAAAGAAAACAAAUGGAAACAAACUCUUGUAAGCACACAUAUGAAAUACUGAUAUAAAACCAAUAAAAACAUGCUCUUCCAGCAGAAGGGCAAUUUUGGCCAAUAAUGUGACCAGAAUUGUUUGGUAAAUAAUCAAAAACCAGACAGCACCAUAUUAAGGAUGCUUAAACAGUUAAUAUCACCCAAAUUAGCAAAUCCCCAACCUCUAACAACAAACAAAAUAACUCACUGAAAUGUUGGCUCCACCCACGAGCAUGUACUGGGUUGUAGGUUUGGACAGAGCACCCAUCACUUUACCAAUUAACUUGUUUAUCUUAAAUUUCAUUCAUGAGAGCCUCGUACAAGUUUCACCCUGAAAUAUUUCCUCGGUACUUGUUUCUUUUAUAACAAAUUAAGGCUAGAAAGGCUCAAAAAUACUAUUUAAUCAAGGAGCUGCUUUUCUAUGGAAUCAAAAUGAUUUUAUUAGAUUAUAUUUGCUGAUUUGGACACAAACCAAACUCCAGUAGAUUUUGACUAUAAAGCGCCUAAAAUUUGCAAGGAAAGUUCUUAUAACUUGUCUUUUGGCCUAUAAACCAAAGUGGACAAGUGCUUUACCUCCUUAUGAGCUAUUGCAUAUAAAGAUACCACAGCAAUUGUUCUUAAGGAAAAAACUUGCCUGAAAAACAAUCUGAAAGACAUAACCCAAUGCACCAGCAGUCCUACGAGCGUGAGGUUCUUCGUGGGUAUUGGAGCUUUUAGAUACAUCGGAUAUGUCUGCAGUUUCACUGAGUGAGGGAGGCACGUAGGUGCCUCGCUCUGCAUCUAAUUGACAAUGAUCACGCCCAUGGCAUAAUCCAUAGAUGGAAAGUGAAGAAGCAAGCUACAACACAAAAUCUGAGAGCAUUAGCAAUUUAUUCACAGUAACAUUCAUGUGAUUUGAAACAUAAGGUGCUGCCACUAAUCAGAAACCAAGUGAAGAUAUUGCACACUGACAGAUUGAUGAUUAUUAUGCUGGAAUUGAAAUAUUAUCUGUGGAACUGGAUACCAAUUAUUUAUACUAUCCUCGGACAGGCAGAUUUAGUGAAAACCAAAUCCAUUCAAAACUUCAUCACUAACAUAUUAUCACAGUGCACUGAUAGACAUGAAGCGAGACAUACCCCAAAACAGACUGUUACCAGAGUAAAUGUCCACCUGUUCAGCACAAGGGAAGUAAAAUAAUCAGAAACAUGCAUUCAGGUAAAAUAAAAUUUCUUCCUCUCUCUUCUCGUCAGUUCAGUGGGUACUCAAAAGACCUCUUGCAGUUCACAAAUCCAGUAAAAAUUAAAGCAGAUAAAGCAAAAUUAUGCUGACUACAAUAUUAACAAUAUAUGUUCAUGUUUCUGGCUCUUCAGAACACCCUCUUCAUAGGUAAAAUUCCUCAAAAGGGGUUUCUUGAAGUAUGCUUAGUGUGCAACAUAAAACUACAAAAAAAUAGAUGACUUACUGAGUAUAGAAGUAAAAUAUACCACCUCCAGAAAUAAGAGCAUUAGCAGUGAUCAAUGCAACAAGAACUACAAAAGCAAACACUCUAAAAGCAAGCAACCAAGCAGGAUGGAUUCCUUUGAGACAUGUGUUCCAAGCUUCAUCCUCAUACAAAGUCCCAACUGUUUCUUGCUGAUUUUCUCUCCUUGCAGAUUCUGAUUUCCUGGACCCUUCAAAUUUCCAUAUUAUAAUUGAUGCUGAAACCAUGGUGACUAAGAUCCAUAGAGCACAGAGGAAAAACCUCCAAUUCAACCAAUAACUUAAUGUGGUUGUAUCCGCAGUCAUAACUGGCUGCCAAGUACACGCUUCGAGGAUGCUGUUAAGAAACCCAAAAUAUUACUUUUACCAACUCCUACACUCAUUGUAUUUUCAGAUUUAUAUCCCUAAGUUCAAUGUUGAACUACAAUUGACACUUUAUACUAUUAUGCAGAUGAAUUUCCAGUAGUAAAGCUUUCCCCGACCGACCCCCCCCCCCCCCCCCCCCCCCCAAAAAAAAAGAAAGUGAAAAAAAUUAUCAUAGUGAACAAUAAGUAGAUGAAAUUGAUUGUAACAGAGAAAAAGGGACGAAAACAAUAAAAAAUAAAAAAUAAUUUUACAAACAAGAUACAAAUACUUGAUCAGAAGAAUAAAAACUGUGAACCAAAAAAAAAGAUUUAAUGGGCUAUGAACUAAAAUCCUUAGAAUAUUGAUUUAUUUUAUAAUUUGGAAAAAGAAUAUAAUAUUAAACUAGUUUAUUCAAAUCUUGUUCACAGUAAUAUAAUAUUGAACUAGUUCAUUCAAAACUUGUUCGCGGUAAAGAAAUGAAACCCCAUUGAAAAAACUUCAAUUCUAUGGAUACAUGUGUGUGUGUGUGUGUGUUUAUUCAAGCAGAACAGUUAAAAAGCAUGCAAAGAACAAGUACCAUAACAAAGAGGAGUAGUAUGGGAAUCUUGAUAUAUACAAAUGAAUUCAACUGAGAUGCUUACUUAGAUGGGUUUAAAACCCAAUAAAGCUACAAUCACAUUAAAUUGAGCAAAAGUGUCAAUUUGUAAGAAAAAGGAUAAGUGUAUUACUUACAGUUUUCUACGAGUGGUCAAGCCCAGAUGAACAGUUAUUCCUCCACGUUAUUAAAAGAAGAUGUUUUGCUUCUUCUUCCUCUCAGUAUGACUGCAUCCAACACAGAGAGACACAGAGAGAGAGAGAAGAGAGAGAGUAGAGAUGUAAGAGGGUAGCGUGUAGUCACAGUGACGUCUAUCUGGGGUAUUAUGGUCUUUGAAAGGCUCACCUAAUAAUAUUGAUUGGGUAAACAAGAUAAAGCAAACUUCAAUAGAAGAAAUAUAUGACCACCAUAAGAGAGGAGGAAAAAAAAGAAAAAGAAAAAAGAACACACUAUUUCCAUGCGUAUUUUUCUAAUUUUUAUUUAAUUUUUUAUUCCAUUUUUUAAUAAGCUAAGUUUCUAGAGCAGACCAGUUGCUUGCUGCCUUACGACUUUAGUUUGUCAAAGUGGGGACGACGACAACAUGAAAUGAUGAAAAUGAUUGACCGUCAUACUAUUACUAUUAACCACCCAACAAAAGAGGAGGAAGCAUGUCUGCCAAGAAGCAGAGUGAGAAAGAUUCUCGUUUCAUCUACGUAGUAGAUUCUCUCAAUUAAGCUCGUUUGCCACGAUGAUUCAAACCUUUACGGAAUAUGUACGAUAUGCUCGCAUAUUCGUUUUACCCAUACAUAGUAGAGAUAGAAAGAACAAAUCAACUAAGGACCUGACUAGCUUACAGAAUCUGUAAGCUACAGACUGCAGCAUCAGCCGUUGGAUGUGGUUAGAUGUGGAGUGAGAAACUAAACAAUAGAAGAUCGGAUGGUGGGAUGACGGGAGAUGUUUGUUACAGAAUCUGUACCAUAGACAGGUCCAUCAACUAAACAUUAUCGAUUAGCCAUGUGACAUUAAUAGAUUACAACUGUACAUCUUACGAGUAAAAUGCAGGCGCAAGAUUUACGUAGCUCCUGAUGAAACCCACAUCAACAUGCACUAGCCUUCUGGAACAAGAAGAAUGGGACCCACCCCGUGACAACAAUUUACAUUUCUUUGUACCCAUUUAUUUACUGGUACAAACAACAUCACGAGCCAAAAGGAGUGCAAAUGAUCUUUCUUUACUUUGAAUUUCAUUUCCGCUGGAGCCUCUCUGCUAUAUGAUCAACAGGUAAUGACCCUAAUGGGACAACAUCAGAUGAGUCACUAUCAUAAAAUUCAUCGUCAUCGUUGAAGUCAUCCUCAGGAUAAAAUUCAUCUUCGUCAUAAUUCUCACUUUGAGAACCAUCUUCGUACUCUGCCAUUGAACUACUGGCACCGUCUUCCCUUGACAAAACUAACGCUGGAUAGGAGUGCUCUGCGGCCUGUGAAAUACCCUCAAAUUCUUCAACCUUCUUCAAAAGAUCAUCAGGACCAAGAUUAAUCUCAUCCAGUACCAAUGCCUUGGUUGAUUCAAUUGCGUGCUUCCAGAGGGAUAUCAUUUUAGGACUUGAUCUAAUGGUUCCUUGGCUAGGGUCAUCACUAGGCGUCCCUAAAAAGCAUAAUGGAAAAUUGAUGAAAAACUAAUUGUAACAGAAUAUAGUUAAUUCUCAAUCAAGUAAAAAUAUAAUUCAGCAGCGAGCAGAAAUCGAGCAGAAAUGUCAUGUACAUCAGUCCUCUUAAACAAAAAAUAAAUAAAAAAAUAAAAAAUAAAGGAAGGGUAACUGACCACACUCGUUACUGGCAAUCCUAAAAUACAAUGAAAUAUCAUGACUAUCCAACCUUUUCUUAAGGAUAAGUAACUACAUUAAUCUAAUCCUCCAAUUUGUAAUUUAGACCCGCAAAAGAUACAAACACGAGAGAUUGCAGAUGAUUAGCUUGCUGGUUUAAUAAAUAGUCAUAGUUGAUAUAAUGUAGCUCUAGGGUAUGAAAUUUCCAGGAAUGCUGCAACAUUUGAUAUGGGAUGUUUUUAACUUUCCAACCAGCAGUUUCCCAGUUUCCCUUUCAUGAAUUCCAAUGCUUAGCAGAAGCUUCCAUCUUGUUUGAAAUUUGCCUCAAUUGGUCAGACAAAUCCAUUUUUCCAUAUGAAAUCUACCAACACAGUUUAUGCCACUAAGAAGGUUGGGCUCCGCACAAGAUGUACACUAUCUACAUGCAACUUACAGUCUUUCCGUUCAGCAAUAAAACCUCCAACAUGACACUUGGGAAUUACAUUAACCGCUAAAAGACUUAUAGGUGUGUGACUUAUAAUGGCAAAAAUCAAGUGUCUUCCCAUUUGAGUCAUGGGAAGACUAAUGGUUAUUCAAAUGAAGUUUUUAUAGAAAUUUCAUUUAUCUUUGAGAGACAAUUCCAAUCUUCAAACUCUUAAAUGCGUACCUGAACCAUCUGCAUCUCCAGCAAUGUCAAGGUCAACAGGAUUUGAAAAUGAAGGAGGUUCUGGAUACAUUGAUUUCCAAUCUUUUCCUCUCCACAUCAAUAUCUGUUCAUCGUCAAAAGAUAAUAGCACGCAGGGAACCAAUUCCUGACCAAAAAUGAAGAGGAAAGGAUUGGAGAAACAGAACAUGAUACCCAAACUACUUAGGAAAGUGUGAAAAAUUCAAAAUUUAAAGCAACUCCAAACAAAUUUGAUAGUUAUUCGACCCCUGUUUGAGUAGCUGCAGAUAUUUGCCAUUCCUUUUAGUGCCAUUUAAUAUUUCUUUUUAAAUUUCACGGGUGAAGAUCUGUCAUAAAAUGAGACAUAAACCACGGCACAGGUACAGUGCAGGAACAUAGAUAAACAGAAAUUGUACACAGACCUUAAGCUUAGCACCCAACUUCUUGUAAUCACUUGCAUGCAUCCCUUUGCAGUUAACCUUAACCAAUGAACUUCCUUCAAAAGCAUUCCUAACAUCUCUCACCAGGGUAAGGUACACUCCAUUUUUUGCUGCAAUGUGCAAAAAGAAAAUCAUUACUUAAACUCACAAGUGUAAGAAAUUUUAUGAUGAAAAAAAAAUGAUGCACAUAAAAUUCCUUCGGAAAGCACAUGCAUGAGUAAUAUCAAACUAAAGAACAAGCUGAAUUCAUGGCACAGGCAAGCAAAUCCAUCAACAUGAAAUAAAUUUAGGAAUUGACGUAAUACAUAAAAGGAGUAUGUACGUCAGAUGUUACAAAUAAAUUCACAAGCUGUGUGCCCAGUAAAAAUAGAAAUGGAAAGCUAACUGUCAAGAGUGAACAAUCAAUCAAUUCAAAACAUCUCAUGCAGAGCACGAUUUUAAAUGCAAAAUUUACAACUUGGGAAUAAUUCACACCAGAGGCGACUUAAUUCUAACUUCUAGUACAAGUGAAUAUACAAGGGAAGAAGAUUAUAUGGAACAAUAUAUGGAUUAUCAAUGAUAUCAUGCUCUUAAACCACAAAAUAAUACGGGUAUUUUAAGACAUCCAAGUGCUUCCAAGAAUUCAACUUCUAUACUGCUAAGAACAAAGAUAAUGAAAGAAGGUGUGUGAUUAAAUGAGGAUACACAACCCUUGCAACAAUUAGAUCACUUGUAGGAAUUAAAUGUGGAUGGCUCACCUAAUUUACAAAUAGGCAGUAGGGAUUUCCCUUUCCUCCGCAACUCAUCGGCUUCAUGUUUUGUCAAUCCUUCAGGGGCUUCUUGGAUAAGCUUUGGGUAAACAGGAGCAGCUGGUUUCCAGAGCAUCAGUGGGUAUUGAGGACGAGUGCGAUAGUUAUAGUUCCUGCCCCGGAAAAGAUAAACUAGACCACCAACUCGAAAAAUGAUCUUCCCCCCUGUUUUUUCCUAACAUUAAAAUAUAAACUUGAGAGCAGAUAGCAUAAGAGCUUAUCUCAUAAAUAAUUACUAAAAUUGAGAGCAUAGCAUACCAUACAUUAAGCAAACUAGCAAAUAAUCAAUAUAUACUACCUCAAGACGGCGGCAAACAUUAUCCAUAUCGACAGUAGGAACACCUUUGCAUUUAAUUUUGAUGACACGACGCCGCUUCCAAUGGGAGUGUAUCAGCUCCAGCAUAUUAUGCGUCAAUCCGUCUCUUCCAAGGUUAACUUGACGAUUAUCCUUCAAAAGAGGCUUAACAAGCAUGCUAAUUUCCCACCUCUUCAAUGGCUCGCCGAGAAUAUCCUCUCUCGUCUUCCCUUCUUGUGGAUACUUCCCGAGAGGAAACGGCCCCGGCAUUUCCACGUGUUUCACGCCCUUUUUGCCGGGCAGCGGCGGGUUAAACGAGUCAAAGAGCGGGAUUUUUUUCUUAGACUUCUUCAACGGUUGUUUUCCGGUCCAAGGCCGCGGCAUCGUGGGUGGACCGAAAGGCAAGAAAGCCGGUUCGCGGAUUGCCAAGGGUUUAGCUUGUGGAGUCUCUGUGUAACUGUAUUGGAACUCGAAUGGAGCCCCCGGUAGCCGAUAGGAUACGCCGGACUCACCGAUGGUAACACCGCGGUCGCCAUCUGAUGCGAUGACUCCCCGAUUGACGGGCUUGUAGUAGCGUGUAUGACGGUGAGGGAGCUUGAAGGCCGGAUUGGGUCUAGAUUUGGGUUUUUGUUCUUUUGGGGGAUAUUUAGGAACGGGGAUGGGUGGUGACGUGGAGGGUGGCGGCAACCUGGGGUCCCUUGGAGGUGGAGUUGACGGAAGGGAUGCGAAGAGGUUACCGUCUGGUAGCGAAGCUAGAAUCCGCAUUUGAAGUUCAGUUUCAGUGUCCAACUCAGGAUGAGAGCGGCGCUAGCCAAUUCAGUUUUCUGGUUUUUCUGUUGAUAUUUUGAGUUUCGCGUAAACGACACCGUUGACAAUUCAACAUAAUUUCUACAAUCUCGAAGUGAAAAUCACAAGUAUCGGGCCUGCAGAGCCCGGGUUAUGUUUUGGACUGGUCCACAAAAAUCCCCACCGAAUGGGUUGGGCUCAGUUGCGCACGAAAACACGACGGUGUUUUCUUAGAUCAUCCACGUGUCAGUAUCUCCAUCAAUUUAGCACUUUCCGCACCUAUCAUCCAACGGUCCUCAUGCCGGCACGAACAAUAUUAACGUACAUGUAUCCCCACAGCAGACCACUUCUCCAAAAUCUAAAACCCUAAUGAAACACUAUAUAAGCCCCUCUACGCAGCAAAAGUUUCUCAUCCUUUCAUUUCACUGAAAUUUGCUGGGUCUCUCCUCAUCUGCAGCCAUGCAGAUCUUCGUGAAAACCCUAACGGGAAAGACCAUAACCCUAGAGGUCGAAUCAUCGGACACCAUCGACAAUGUCAAGGCCAAGAUCCAGGACAAGGAGGGGAUUCCACCGGACCAGCAGCGUCUCAUCUUCGCCGGAAAGCAGCUCGAGGACGGCAGAACCCUAGCCGACUACAACAUCCAAAAGGAGUCAACACUCCACCUCGUCCUCCGUCUCCGUGGUGGCGCGAAGAAGCGUAAGAAGAAGACCUACACCAAGCCGAAAAAGAUCAAGCACAAGAAGAAGAAGGUCAAGCUCGCCGUCUUGCAGUUUUACAAGGUCGAUGAUUCUGGAAAGGUCCAGAGGCUGAGGAAGGAGUGUCCGAAUGCUGAGUGUGGAGCCGGCACCUUCAUGGCUAACCACUUUGACAGGCACUACUGCGGCAAGUGUGGACUCACCUAUGUUUACCAGAAGGCUGGCGGUGAUUGAUCGAGAUUAGGUGGUUGUUUUGCUAUUUUUAAUUAGUAUUAAUUACUAUGGUUUUUGUGGUUAAAAAAUUAUGACUCUUUCGUAAUUUUGUUUGACUAUAUACUUGUUUGCUUGAGCGUUUUAAUUAAAUGGUUAUCUGUUUUAAAUUUUAAUUUAUGAAUCUUUUAUGAUUUCUGCUUGUUUUGUUUGUUAUAUAAUUGAUGUUAUUGAUUCUUGAUUGGAUGCAUUGAUCUAUUCUGUUAAUUUGAUGGAAUAUUGUCUAGGAUUUGAGUAUUGUGGGGGAAUAAUUUAGUGGUAAUUGAUUUUCGUGUAGGAGUGCUAUUCUACAUACGAACAAUUAAGUUGGAAUUAAAGGACUAAUGCUGGAAGUUAUUAAGAACUUUGUGGGUGGGUCAGAAGUUUUACACAAGAGUACUUAGAAUCUGUUUUGAAUUUAGUUGGAUAUGUAAAUUAUUUUGGGAGUUUGAAUUGAUUAUGUACAUUUUUUUUCUCUGAAAACUGGUUGAGAGAAAUGUUGAAAGGUAAUUAUGACUGUUUGAGGAAAGAGUUAUUGGAAAUGUCUUUAGUUUUCCCCUUUUUUCUCUGGAGAUGGUUUAGCUAGAUGCAGCUAUAUGUUCUUUUCUGGAAAUGUUUUAUGCUCUUAUUUAUGUUAAUUAUUGAUGAUAUUGCUUUUCCCCCCUAUAAAAGAAUUUUACAUUCUCUCACAUCUAAUGGAUGAAUGAUAAUCAUUCUUAUGUUUUAUGCUUUUAUUGGCUGCUGCAUACUCAUCUUUGGGAAAUGUCUGAGCUAUCAAUGAGUAGCUUCAUUCCUUAGAAUAGGGUUCUGUAGCAGGCAGCCCAGCGGCUGGCAGCUUUCCCAAUCAUGUUUUUUAAUGUAUGACCCAAACUGAUCUUUAUUAUGGAGCUUCUGCUUGCCUCACUAGAGUUAGAGCUGGCUGUCAUUUGCAAUUUGAGAAUUCAUAAUAGACUGCUUAAUUAGGAGUAUUGAUAUACCAUGUUGCUUAAUAUCCUGGUGAGUUGUUUCAGUCCAGGACAAAUUUGGGAAGCAUAAUUUGGACAUAUAUAAAUUUUAAAUGUUUUGAUAUAUUUUGAUUAGUAUGUUGCAGAGAUACAAUUUCUCAAUAUAUGUAUGAGUAGUGGGUUGAGAUAAUGAAAAUGAAAGAUCAUGUAUGAUUGCUUUCCUAGUGUUGGAUUUGGCCUAGUUGCAGUGUUCAUAGUUUGAGAUCUACAUGGAUUUUAGGUAUUCUUUGAGUUGCUCUUAAGUGUAUUAUUCUCAACUGUUGGUGUUUGGUGUGCCAUCGUGGAUCAUGUGUCCUUCAUCCCCUACCGUGCCCACACAUGUUAAUCUUCAACUCUGUUGGAAGUGGUUUUGUUGAUUCACAGUUUGUAUUAGAUUUGAUAGCCAUUUUGUUGGUUGCUUUCAACUCUGGAAGGUGGAUGUUCAUUUUUCCAUCAUAUUUGCAGAUGGAUAUCUUCUUAUAAUAAUCGUUGGAUCUGAAAUUCUUUCUGAAUCAUAAUAAUUAAGUAAAGGCUGAUGUUACAUGCUUCUUAAUCAGUUGAUUGAGAAUGUAUUUACAAACCACCCUACCUUUGCUAAUCAGGAAAAUUUUAUAGAACACCCAUCAGAAAAAAAAUAUAAAACAACCCACAUCUGCAGGAAUCAAUGGCCUCUCUAGCCUCCCUGACCGGCAACUGCAAGCAGGCAAUAGUGAUUGUUAAGCUAGUCUACGGGACGCGAGAGUAAUUGGGUUUGGCAGUGGCGGCAUAACUGCUGGACCUGGACGGCUCUACUGGAGCUUACAUCUCCUGAGGAAACCUGACCAUGGACUCUUAUCAUCUUCUUUUUCAUUAAGCCUUCCAUAGGUCACACUCUUUAAAAGUUUUGACAAGUAAGAUAUGACCAGAGUUUCCUGUUUUUAAGCAAUAGACUCGAGGUACUAGUUUGCUACCAUCCAACUCCAUCUGUUCAACAGAUAACGGGUGGCGGGUUACACAUUAAUUAGUCACUCUCUAGAAUUCUUCUUAAUUUCAAUGGAUUAAAGGUGAGGUCUCAAUCUCAGUAGCUGGAUUAAGAUUUGGAGAGACAUUUAUGAAUGAUAGAGGAUAAUUGCGAUUUUCUAUUUGAAAACUUUCAGAGUCGUUUUCUCCUUGUCCAGUUGUCCCAAAUCAAGUGCUCCUAGCAUUUAGGUAACAUAUUUUUUGGAUUAGAAAUCUGAAUAGAUUUGAAUAUUUUUAAAAUUUGAAAGGGUUUGAAUUUCUUUUAAAGUUUGAAUAGAACAGAAUAAUAGUAUUUAACUAACGUGUUUGUUUUUCUUAAUAGUUGAAUAUAAGAGGUUUUUUUAUAAAUAAAGAACAUUUUAAACAUAGUCAUUUGACAUUUAUGUCCUUACAAGUCAAAAUAAAAAGAUUAAAUUUUAGAGUUUAAAAAAUAGACUUAUUUUAUAAAGAUAGUUUUAUAUAUAAUAUUUAUUUAUUAUCCAGAUUUUUUUUUUAUUUAAAUAAAAGUCACAAGUAUGAGGCUAUUUGAGGUUCUGGAUCCACCAAUUUUCUCUCUAUACCUUUUUAAUUAAGAAUUUUAUUAUCUAAAUAAUCUUUGAAAAAUUACUUAACUAACUUUGCUUUCUCUUCUCAAUUCCUCAAAUUCACAUUAAUUCAUUCAAGUAUAUUUCUUUACUUGCAAAUAAUUAAUAUUACUAACUGAAAAGAACAAAAACUAACCAUUUAAAAAUGAAUAUCAACAAAUUUUUUAUUAGUUAUGAAAAUAAAUAUCAUGAAAUUAAUUUUUACUAAACACAAAAGCUAGUAGACAUCAAGAUCUUUAGACAUAGAAAACAUGAACUAGAGAUCGUGAUAUAUUAAGAGAGAUCGAAAAAUAAAUAAAAAAGAGAGUGAAAUUGAGUGUUUAAUUUAUAAAAUAUGAAAGUAGAGAGAGAAUAUGCAAUUGUAAGAUAAAAAGAGAGAGAUUAUUAAAGGGUAAUUUUGAGAUCUUAAAAUUUAAAUAUUUUAAUAAUGAAUUCAAUUUUUAAAAUGGGUGUAUAAAAAAUUUUGAUAGGUUCAAAUAGUCCCACCCCAAUUGCAAAAGUUUACUUUUUUUUUUUAAAGUCUAAAUGUAAAAGUAUGAAAAUCAAAUAUAAAUUACAAAAAAUUAAUAAAUUUUUUUAAAAAAAAUUAAUAAAAAUUAAAUUUCAUACAUUUAACAAACAAUCUCUUAGUUAACUCAGUCAAGCAUAUUUCCAUUUUUUACUUCUAUAUAAAAAUUCUCCCAACUUGAGGGUGACUGUGUGGCUAUUAACAAAAAGGUGGGCAUGGUACUUCCACUAGCUGGUGUGUGUGUGUGAAGCAACGAAUGAAACAAAAGACGAAAGAAAUUAUACCGCUAGUAAUGCAGCGCUUCGAUAAUAAUGCACAAGGAAUAUGCCACCACAGUUUUAAUACAAAUGUUAUGUACCCAAGUUUACAAGAGUGGCAUCACUCUUUUACUACAUAGGUUGUCUUGCUUUCCUUAUGACAACUGAGGCGUGGUUUGGUUUUUACAUUUGGCAGCUUAGUUGCUGAAUCUUUAAGCUGUAUACUGAAACAAAAAUAAGCUCCACAACCACAACCACAAGUGAUAAGAAAUUAUUGUUAGGCAAUAGUUAGUGAUGCUGUUUAACAAUCAGACGUGUUCGUUAGAUACCCAUAAACAAAUGAGAAAUAAGUUUUAUCCGAGAGCCUCAUAAACUUCCUCUUAACAAUUAGAGCUUCUAUUUCACUACAAUUGUUUCUUAAAAAUCUAGAACCCAGAUGGUGCCUUAAUUACACUAGAAAAGAACACUAUAAUCGUUUGCAAGUGAUAUCCAGUCCAAAUGCUGACAGAGGGGGGCAUUAAAAAUGGCGCCUCUAUGGUGUUGCUCUGACAUCCUCUAUCAGUAUUUAAAUCCAAAUGCUGAAACAUAGGCAUCGAAACGACACCCUUAUGGUGCCGUUAUUGGUCGCCUCUCCAUCAGCCUUUGGGCUGAAUAACACUCAUAAUAGUUUCAUGUAUACUUACUUAAUAAGUAAGUCUAUGAGUGCGUUUGACACAUUGUAUUAUAUUAUGUUGUAUUAUAUUAUUUUAAUAUUAGUGUAUUAUAUUAUGUUGUAUUGCAUUAGUAUUGUAUUAUAAUAAUGUUGUACAAAGUUUGGUGCUACAUUAUACUGUAUUAAUUUUUUUGUGAUUAACUUAAAUUAUAUAUUUAGAAAAUAAUAUUUAUUAGUAAUUAGAAAAAUACAAAAUAUAGAAGUCUUAAAUUUUAGAAAUUUAAUAUUAUUUUUUAGUAUAAAUAUAAAAAAAAAACAAAUUUUCCAUAAAGAUUGAAGCUUAUAGCCUUAUAAUCGACAGCAUAACAUUUAUUUUAAAUUAAUAUUAUUUAAAUUUAUUCAUAUAUAAAUAUUUUUAUUAGUUAUAUUAAAUUUUUAUAUAUUAAUUAACAUAAUUUAAUUAAAUAAUUUAAUAUCAAGUUAUAUUCUUAUUUUUAUAUAUUAUUUAAGUACUUAUUAAUCAAUUUGAUAUAUUAAUUAUUAUAUAAUUAAAUAAUACAUUAUUUAGUAAUAUUUUUAAUAUAAUAAAAAUUAAAAUAUGAAUAAUAAACUAUUAAUUUAUAUUAAUAAUUAUGAUAUAAAAAUAAAAGAAAAUAAAAAUUAAUAUUAUAUUAUAUUAUAUUAAAAAGUUAUAUUAUUUAUUAUUAUUAAAAAAAAGCAAAAGCAAAAGUUAAAAAAAAAAAGAAAAAACCGGCAAAUACAAUGUACCAAACAUGCCCUAUAUGCAUCAUUGCAUUGUGAAAAUUACUUAAUAUUAUGGAAAAUUAAACCUCCCUCUUUCCUCAAACAUAGAUUAUAUCUUAUCAUUGGUGUUCUUCAUAAUCAUACCGCAACUUCAUUAGGACCAGAACAGACAUUGAACCACAAGCCUUAGAUGAUGAAAUUACAACUGACAACUGGUUCAAGUUCGAGGUGAAAGAUGAGUAUAUGAUGUGAAAACUUACUAAAAAUAUAUGAUAAAAUUUGUCAGCGUAUUCUGAUACCUCCCAACCGGACCGGUCACAAGUAUUUUUCCCAUCAAAAUUCAAAUUCAGUACAAGUGGUCCUUCUUGGUUCCAGGCUACCAGCUGGUCCCUUCUACGCAUAUAGGACGACAGUGGCACUAGCUAGGAUCGGCCCCGUCGGACUUGGAUAUAAGCAAUAAGUAACACUUAAUCAAGCUGAUUAUGGGCAUGGGAAAUUGAGAUUACGUUGAUGUACUUUUUGUGCUAUUAUGUUCACUAAUUUGGAAUCAACACAAUCAUUACUGUCAGUCUCUUCAAAAUGUAGACUAUGUGCAAUUUAGUCAUUUUUGCAUCAUAGUACAUCUUCAUCUAAGUGUCAUUUCUGAGCUUUUCAACCGUGGGGAGCCUGGAAAAUUUAGCUUUUUUUCACAUGCAGGCACAUGGGUAAAGGCUAAGACUUAAUAAAAGAGUCAACAAUCAGAGGCAAUGAAAAUUGGAAAAAGUAAAUGCUUGCAUUAAGAGCAGUGAGCUCCGAAGUGAAAAAUAAACGUGAACGGAGAUCUCAUAUGGUCAAUUAAUUUUACUCUGUUUCAGAAAAGACAAAUCCUAAGAUGCCACUUUACCUUCUCUAUACACCUUUCCAGAAGUUUCCCCAUUCCUCCAAAAUGGUAAAAACUUACCGCACUUUCACUUUCAUGUUAGAAAUAGAGGGCUCAAAGAGAUAGGUGGAGUAAAUGAGUUAGAAAACAACACAUGAAACAAAUAGGCACUAGUCCUUUUCUUCACUUGCUGUCUUUCAGCAUUGAAUUUUUUGCAAACCCCCAAGUGUUUGAUAAUUUUCAUCAUUUUAGAGUACGAAGGGUAAAUAAUUAACUUCGUUCGCUCGUUGGAGUUACCAGAGCCUAAAACAUUCCCAAAUCUAUAGAAGUAGUUGUUUUUUGGGUAAAUAACAACAAUAAGUGCAGUCUAUUUUGGGAUAAUUAGAAGGAGAUUUGCAAAAAGAUCUAAAUGAUCCAUUAUUAUUAAGUCAUGUAGUACUCUACUCUAACAUCUAUAAAUCUCUCUUCAAUGACAAGACCCCCAUCCUUUUUCUCUCAUUGUCUUUUGUUGGUGGCCCUUUCUCUUUCUCUCUGUCUCUCUGUCUGUCUGUCUCUCUCUCUCUCUCUCUCUCUGUGUCUCCCUUUUGAUCUUUCAGACAAGUAAUUAACCGAUCGUCAUCAUCAAGCAAAACACAGCAUGUCUGCACUCAACCAUCUGUUUGAUCUCCCUGAACAAAUAUGCUAUGUGCAAUGUGGUUUCUGCACUACCAUUUUGCUGGUGACUAAUUAAUAUUGCAUCAUUUCAUUUAUGUACCAACUUGUUGGUUUUGUAAAAUUAUUUGUGGUUGGCUUUUGGAAAUAUGCAGGUGAGUGUCCCAUGUAGCAGCAUGUCAAUGGUGGUGACAGUGAGAUGUGGCCACUGCACAAGCCUCCUCUCUGUUAACAUGAUGAAAGCUUCAUUUGUUCCUCUUCAUCUUCUAGCUUCUUUUAGCCAUGAUGAUGAGGUAUUUAUGCGUGUGUUUAAAUUGUCUUUUAAUUAUAUUUACUUGAGAAUCAAAUCAAAGACCAAGAUUAUAUAUGUACAUAAGUGAGUGUGUGUUUGCUGUCUUUGAUAUGGUUCAUAAUAUUCUCCACUAAAAUUAAUUGUAACACAAAAUUCAAAGUUACUUUUCAAUGUCUUUGAGGUCCUUUCUUCUCUACUUAUAGCCUAAAGAAGAAUUUCGUAAGGAAGAGGUGCAAGCUGAUCAGAAGGCCUUCAACAGAUUUAGCCCUUCAAUUUUGACCUCUUCUGACAAUGAAGAAGAAGACACCGGCAGUGUGGUCAAUCACGUCGUUAACAAACGUAUAUAUGCGUGCCAAUCUUGUAAUUAAUUAAGCUCUGGAGGAAACUAUUUGAUGUAUAAAGCUUAUAUAUUCUUAUUAUUCAACUGAUAUUUAAUUAUGUUGUGAUUUUGUUAACAGCUCCUGAGAAGAGACAAAGAGCUCCAUCAGCUUAUAACCGUUUCAUCAAGUAAUAUUGUGGCUUGUAUUACAAUAUAUAAAUACAUCUAUGCCAUUUAUGUAGGAACUCUGAUCAAUUUGAUUUUCAUGCAUGGCUGCACCUGCAGGGAAGAAAUCAGAAGGCUAAAGACUGAAAAUCCAAACAUGGCUCACAAGGAAGCCUUCAGCACCGCUGCCAAAAAUGUAAGGCCACUAGAAAUCAACACGAGUAACAUGCAUGUUUCAAUUUUAUUGGACAGCAUCCGAAAAUAUCAACAAUUUCAUUAAUUAAAAAGAAAGAGGUAGUGACAUGGAACGAAUGAAGGGCUUUCUUUUUCCUUUUUUCAAUUAUGAGCUUAAAUUCUGGUCGUGUUUGACAACUCUCAGUGGGCCCAAUGUCCUCCAAUUCAGCACAAAGGAGAUGGAGAAAGCUGCGGUGGCCAAGAAGAGGAAAAGCGAGCUUGGAACUUUGAAGCUACCGAUCGGGUCAGUAUAUAUAUAUAUAUUUAUUAUUUUUUUUUUUUCAUAUUUUUAGUUUGGAAACUGUGACAAGCUGCAACAUGGACUGAUUCAUUUUUUAAACUGCCUUUCGGGUACAAAAAAUAAUCACGCUUUGACCGUUUGUUAUAGUUGUAUGAUAAUCAAAUUAUUUGUAUACACAAUCUGAUGAAUCAUAUAACUUUACAAGGUGAUGGGACGAUAGGGUUUCACCUAUCAAAUCACAACCAUCCAUUUUGGAAAACUUACAAACAUAAUGUGUAUCUUUAAACGCACGUGUGCAUAUAUGUAGACGAUCAAUCAUUUAAUACAACCCUAUCUUGAUACUCCAUUUUGUUCAGGUUCAGUUUUGGAACGUAUUUUCUAAAGAACGGUGAUAAUAAGUUAAGACUCAAAGGCUACAUGUUUCCAAACAUUAUGUUAAUACAAACCUAUCACCCUUACAAUUAUGAAUUUGUGUUGACUAAAUCCAGUUCAUGAUGAUGAUGAGGUGACCAAGUCAAUUGAUAAUACAAACUAAUUUUAUAAGGAUUAGAGAUAGAAGUUGCCAAAAUCAACCAUGAUUAGAAAGAAUAUGGUAAGUAACACGGUGUCGUUUAUCAAUAUUCUUGAAUUUAAAAAAAAGGCAAGUCACUUUCUUGGAGUUCAACAACUCACGUAGUGAAAUUUAUGAGGGCUAUAUAUGGUAAUAACUUAAUUAUAUGUCACUGAAAUGGUAGCUUGACUUUUCUGUUCGCAAAACUUUUCAGGUUCACGUACAAGGCAAUGGUUUCCGCGAAAGAAAAGCUCCAAGGCAUUCCUUCAGGGCGAAGUACAACCUUUGAGUGAAAACGAUCGACUUUGCAUAAAAUUAAAUCACCUUAUAUAAAAAGAAAGUGUUGUAUCUCUUUUAGGGUUUAAAUCAUUUGACUUUUUAAGGAAGAUGCUCUUGGAAAUGAGGUUUGAACAUUUCACUUCUAGUAGUAGUAGGCGAGUUUCCACUGACAAAAAAGAAGCUCCAGCUUUCAGAGAGCUCUUAGUUAGAGGUUAAAAUUUAUUUUAGUUAAAUAUCUAUUGUGCUAAACUAUCUUCUAGUUAUUUGAUCAUAAAUGUUUCUUAGUUAAUUGGGUUUAUGGAUUGGAUUAUGGUCAAUGAUAUAUAUAAGUGUGUGUGUGUGUGUAUUGAUGAAUUUAGAGUCUGCUGUAUAACGAUGAAAUAAAUAAGAGAUGAAAAACAUAUUACUAUAAUAGCAGUACGUUUAUGUAUCACUAUGCAAAAGCUUCUGGUAAAUAUGGAUCGAUCGGUUUACAGUGAACUAAUCAAUAACUAACUAAAUAUCAUCGGCUUGCCCUCUAAAAAAUAAGAAAAAGAAGAAGAAAAAUAAACCAUUCUCUAGUUAUAUAUCACAUCUUCAUUUUUGUUCUAUGAUCGAUCCUUUAAUUCGAUCACCAUUCAGGAAUCGCGACUGUUUUUAUUCACAUCCAUCGUUUCCUUCUUGUGAAUCUCGGUGCCCUUUGAUCAAUAGACCUCCCUACUCCAUGGAAAAGGAAUUUAAAUGCACACUCUCACCAAUAGUACUAAUAAUAAUAAUAAUUACAAAAAGCUUCAAAUAUAUAUAACAUCAUUGGAAUCAACAAAUUAAAUGACUUCGUGAAAGUUUUACAGAGUAAUUAGAAGCUCAUGAAGUUAAAUUAAGUUAAUAAAACAAGAUGAGGUCUUACUCAUGAAAGGCCUUGGAGAAAUAGAAUGAAAAUAUGCUCGAAAGAAGUCCUUGUUCUCCUUUUGUAGCUCCCUCCAUACUGCAAGCAUGAUGCCCCCACUAAGUUUUACCAAUGAAUUAACCAACUAAAAUAGACUUACUGUACUUCAAUUUUCAUGUUAAUGUGUUCGGUGUUUAUGGCGUAUAUAUAUAUGGUAUGUGCAGAAAUAUCGAUAAAUAAUUAUAUACCUGUAAGUGUGACAAGCGGGCGAAUACCGGCGUGCUCUGCUAGUGCCUUGAUGCACUGGUCUCGGCUCAUGUGAAGGAGCAAGCACCUCUCUAUAAGAUGCUGAACCUGUUUUAAUUAAUUUCCAUGCAAAAACCACAUAUCAGUGAUUAAGUAUUGGUUAAAAUUAUGUACCUAUAUAACGGGGUAUAAUUAAUAGAUAUAUGCAAUUUUUCAAAGACUAGUAAGCCAAGCUAGCAAAUAUAUAUAUAUAUAUAUAUAUAUAUAUAUAACUAACCAUUCUAAUGUAGCUAUGUGGGUGGCAAUGCAAGCAAGGAAAGAAAUGGUGGUUACGAUACAUAUUGCUCUCUUCAGUGUUGAUGAUUAUACUAUAGAAGUGGAAAGCAAACAAAACAAAUAGAACAAAAGAAGGAAGUCAAGGAAACAGAAAGAGAGCAAAAGAAGAAUGCAAACAAAUGGUUAAAAGUGAAAGGAAGAAGAAGAUAUUUAGAGAAUAUAUGUACAAAAAAGAAAUUAAUACUAGGAGGAGUACGUAAUUCAAGAGAGAGUGCUUUGUUAUCCACAGAUAUCCAAGCGAAGGGCCAAAAAAGCACAAGAAAUCCAAACGAUAGAUUCACCUCAUCUUGAGGAGAUAAGAGGUCGAUGAUUUUUUGAAGAGUCUGACACAUCUUUUUGCUUAUUUAUUUAUUUUCGACGAUGACAUCCCCGCAGCCGUUCGAGCAACAACGCACCCUUCGCUGCACACACACACACACACACACCCAUUUGCUUCCUGUACAGCGGCCGGUCCUACAUUCUUCAGCCACCUUCAAUGUUUAGUGGUCCCUUAUCCUUGAUGGUUACCAUAACUGUGUGCCUACCAAGUACCAAAUAUAGUCUAGUUCUUACUUAAGGUAAUUAAGUAUAUAAUUACGCUUGUCCCCAUCUUUAUUAGGUAGCUCUUUUUCGAUGUAUGUGCUUAUAAAAUUAGAGUGCAAAAUUUGUAUCCAAAUGAUGUGGUAUAUGAUGUGUGGUUCAUUUAUGUAGUAUGAUGAAACUAUCUCAUUAAUUAUGGUAUGAAAAUCAUUUAUAUAUUACUAAAUACAUGACAGUUAUUAAUGGUACCAUAUCAUUUGGGAUUAAAAUUUUAUAAGUCUUUUGUCAUUUGAAUUAGCUUUUAUAUGGGUUUCUAGCCAAUAUAACUAGGGCUUGCAUUAGUAAAUUUAAAGUAAUUCUCUAAUCAUGAACUAGUUUUUAAGUGUGAGUUAAGAUUCACAAGUCCAAUAUCUAAUUAUGUCGGGUCAAAUAUAUUUGAUUUGACUGUCGAACGGGCUUUCGUACCAUUUAAUUUCAAUUUGGUUGAACAAAAUUUUUAGGCAAUUGCUACUAAGUUAUUACUGGCGUAACUUUGAAAACAACACAAAAAGUAGUAAUAAGUUAUGGGGUCCGCAUGUGUUUUAUGAGAAAACUUUAUAAACUUCUUGAUGGUAAAAAAACUACAAUUUGAUUUGGUGGUUAAAGCACUUCUGAGCAUUUGAUGAAUAAUGAAUUAUAGAUCUUUCGUGUACAAAACACAAGCCACCCGUCUUGGUUUUAAUUUGAAAAUUUGGAGAGACUCAAAUUUUUGUAUAUUAAAUCAUCUGAUGUUCAAAGAUAUUGAUGGAAUGAGAUGAUCAUAUUGGCCUCAUCACCACAAUUGCCGAAGAACAACAUCCAAUCAUUAUAUCGUGUCUGGUUUUCCAACGAAGGUACAAUAAACGUGUAAAUCAUGUUAAAUACGAAAGAGUUUGAAAGAUUUCACAAUUUAGGAACAAUCGUUUAUCAACCAACUCUUUUGGUUGGUUAUAACAUUAAUUGCCUAAGAAUUUAUUUCAGGUUCCAAGGCUAAGAAAACUAAUACCAAUAAAUAUAGUCUCUUAGCCUAAGAAGUAAUAAAAUCUUAGGCAAUUUGAUUUUAGGUUAAUAUUUCUCUUGGUUGUAAAAUCAUACUUCACUUUUUUGGUUGAUUAUAAAAAAAAAUUUCUAACGUUAGGUGAGAUUAUUUGAAUCCAUCAUAAUAUUCACUAAAUUACAUAAACUUAAUAAACCUACCACCAAAUUUUAAAUUUUACUUUUUACUCUCUAUAUCUUUAUUAGAUAUCUGUUGUCAAAUUUUAAAAUUUUACUUUUCACUCUGUAUACCCUUGUUAAAUAUUCGUUAUUCAGUUUUCUUUAAGCGAUUUGUAUUGUCAAGGUUUCAUGAUUUUUAAUGUUUUUUAACUAAGUCCUAGGCUUGUUGCAAUGGUAAUUUUCCUCUUUUUUUCCAGAACUGAAACUCUCAAACCAAUCAUGAAACACUGAUGUAAAAUAUAAUAAAACUCAAAUGUUUAUGUCAAUAUGCAAGGGAUUUUUUUUUCUUGGAACAGAAUAGAAGUUUAAUUUAUGUCAAAUUAGGUAAGCCUUUGAUUUUAUUUAUCAAAGACAAUUUAAGUUAAUUUAGUUGAUGUCAUCAAAGGGAGCAAUGGUAGAUAUUUAAUAUAUGUUAAGAAUUGCAGAAAAACCUUUAAAGAGAAAAACACGACAAGACUCUUUCUAUUCGUUCGUCCUUAUCAGAAAUCCGCUACACAAAGAUUCAGCUUAAUUGACUCAUCCCCAUUAAGCACCAGUGCUUCUAUAGUUCUGUUUCUUCUCAACUUCUCAGUCAGCUCUACAAUUGUGUCCUCAUUGCACGCAAAUUCUAAGAUAAAUCGCAUACAAACUUUUUGACCUUUGACCCUUAUUUUUCUACUUUCCAUAGAGCAUACAUAGUAGUAAUAGUUAUUCGUGUUGCUGGGAGAAGAUUUCUAAUUGAAAGAAUAUGAAAAGCAACAUCUUACACAGCACACAAGUGAAUUAUCAAAAGCUUAAGAGGACUUUGAAGGGGUGGCAAAAGCUUCGCUCUUAUGGCUGCCUAUUCAUUCGUAACCCAGAAAAUGGCAAAAACCAACACGAUCCACAAUCAAGUGAAUUAUCAAAAUUCAAGACGAACAAUCUCAAGGUAUCAACCACUCUGGUCAUGUCUAAAAUUGAAGAUAUUUGCCAAACCACCUUGUGCUAGUCCGCUAAUGCAAUUUGCUCAAGCAAUUACUUACUUGUCACCAGCCCCAGACCCAGAUCCACUUAAAAAAAUAGUCACCUCUUCAUUCUGUACCUGCUUAAGCAAAACCUUUUAGCCCUAUGUACACUUUAGUCAAAAACAACUACAAAUCCCUCAUACUAUCAGAUUGGCCUCACGAAUGAGUAAAUAAGUUACCACGACGAAUACCAACUCAGUUAACGAUACGACCAUAUCUACCAAGGAAAACAAAUUCAAACAACUAAAACAAUCUCAAGCACUUGAAACGCAGCUGCCAAUUUAGGUUCAUUACAUAUAACAAACUAUGACACACACACACACACACCCAAAAUUAUCCAUGACUUGGGUAAGAGUUAAGUCUUUAAUGCAUUUGAUGCCUAAUAUUCCUCAAUACUAAACAUAACGGCAAGUGCUCACACAGACAUUACAAUAUGGAAGUUGACAUGCAGAUGCAACAGGCAACAUGAACAAAACCAACUUCAGGUCCAUCCAUGGGCUUCCUCAGCUGGUGUCAGACUUAUCCAAUGCUGCAACAAAGUCAAAAAUCAGUGCAAGUAAACAACUGAGGAAUAUCCACAACCAUGAAAGACACAUUAACAGAAAGAAAGAGGGAGAAAAAGCCCAAGAGAGAUUACUGUUGUAGUUAAGAAGCUUUUCAAUGAGGUCAACGUGAGUCAUAAGCAUUCGCCUACAGCAAUAGCGGACCAACCCCAAGGCAUCAAGUGCGUCUCUGCAUACCAAACAGUCAUAAGCAAAACUCUAUACCAAAAAAAAAAAAUGCUUAUAUAGUUGAAUCUAAUCUUUUAUACCAGUAAAAGUUUGGUAGCCUACCAUAAAUGAAAUACAAGGACUAACAUUCAUUCACAUUCAAACAAACACGUGGUUGCUAGAAAUCACAUGGUAAAAUCCUACAGCUCUACAGAGUACAGAUUACAGGAUCAAAUUUCAAAUAAAUCACACAUAUAUAAACAAUGUGCUUACAGAUCCAUGGCUGUCCAAAUUUACACAUCAGUGAACCAGCCGACAAAAUAGUAAUGCAUAAAUAUUAAAAAAUAAAAGUAAGACCAGUAAUCUUAGCACAUUCAAGCUUGCAAUUCCUAAUUCCCAAACACACAAUUCACAACCUGCAUUAAAUCAAAGUGGCCUAGAACGAAAAAAAAAGAAGAAAAAAAACAGAGGAAAAUAUCCCAAAAACCUCUCAAAAGAAGAUCAAGAAGGCCAGAUUGCAAGAAACGCGAAAGAUUAACAAUGGUCUACAGACUACAACUGUUCAAAUAAAUUAAGGAAUAUAAAAAAAAAAAACAGAGAAUUACCCUUCAGGAUAAUCAGCCUGUAGAAGAUCAAGAUAGGUGUCCCAUUUGUUUCCGAUGACCUAAUAUCACAAUAAUCAAAACAAAAUUAUAAAAAAAAAAAAAAAAACCUAGAACCAUCCAUGGAGACAAAAAAUAGAUUCUCUGUCAUAAAAAGAGAAAUUACCUUGCCGCAAGUGAAGCAACGAACUGGGAUUAUCAUCUUCCUUGAGUCUUACGCUCGAGUCGCCUCUUUCUCCCUUCUCUCCUGCGAAUCGUUUGUCACCCUAGAGCAAGACUGGUGGAGGCACGGGGUUCAAAUUCUGUCCAGCUUUAUACGAAGACCUCGCCGCCCUUAGAAAACUGACCAUAAUCUGUGAACUUAUAGUUGUGUUUGUGACCAAUAUUAUACUUGUACUGACUAAAAUACCCAUGGGUCGAUUUGAUGCCGGCCCGUAAGUUCCAGCAAAAGCCCAACUCUUCAACCCGGUUAAAAAGACGUGAAUUUUUCGAUCCGGUUGCUUAAACCCGCGCGGACCCGGCAUCCGGGUGUGAAAAUAUGCCGCAAGAAUUCAAAGCACUGGCCUACUUUAGAAUAUGGAUGAGGAGGGCGGUCCGGCAAAUGAUGCUUUAGUCUGUUAAACGUGUUCCAAUUCAAACAAAAUUUUGAUCAUAUCCUACACGCGUAUUGACAUUGACUGUCACCUUUUUAUUUCCCCCCCCCCUCCCCCCCUAUUAUUCAAUAUUUUUUUUUCAACAUAUAAUAAGAAUGAUUUUGGUCGGUUUUUAACAUAUAUACGAGGAGAAAUUUUAUAUUAUUAUGAUGCGAUAGGAGCCAGGAGGCUUCUUCUAUUGAAAAUUAUUUAAAUUUUUGUCAUCAUUCAAUUGAUUUUAACACCAAUUCAUUUGCUUUUUUGACGGUGGUGGUCUGAAUACGACUCAAUCUAGCCUCAAAUUAUUGGACUGUUUUAUUAAAAAAGAAAUGUAAUUGUUAAAUUUUCAAUUAAACAAAGUUAUUGCUUUAAAACGUGUAUCACAUUUAUGAUAUCAGUCAUACAUUAUAAACCUAAACAUGCAUGAAAAAUGUACAUUGUCAUAAAAGAUUUCUCACCUUACAAUAUUGAUUGCUGCGAGCAUUAUUAUAUCAGUUUGUAUAACCAAUCAAAACCAUAAAAGAUAAUACAAAAGGAGUUAAUUGGAUACAUAUCUAUAGCGAGGGAGUCUAAUAUUGUGUGUGUUAUGUCUAAUGAUAGAUGUAUUGUUGGCUAAUGUGUCUUUAAUGCACUUUUUCCCUCCAUAUCUAAUUAAUUUUUAUGAUAUCAUGAAUAAAAAAUUACGACGUUAAUACUGUAAAUAAAUAUAAAUUAUAUAAAUAAAACAUAAAACUGUAAAUAAAUAUAAAUAAAACAUUAGACUUAUAAAUUCAACAUAAAUUUUGUAAUUGUUUGUUAAAAUUUUGAAAUCUGAAAUUUUAUAAAUUUCGGACCUUUUUAAAAAUUUGUUUAUUUAUUUUUUGGAAUUUAUAUAUGAUUUUAAGAUAUUUACAUCGGAAUAGAAAAAUAAAAUUUGUGACUAUUAUCUCGAUGCCAAAUAUAUAUUUAAAAUAUAUUUAUUUCCUAAACUAAAAUAUUAGUCAUUUUUUUGUUUUGAUUUGCAAUGAUAUAAAUGUCAAAUAACUAUGUUUAAAAUUUUUUUAUUUAUAAAAACAAACAAAAUGCCACUUAUAUUUAGACAUUAAAAUAAAAAAAUGAACAUGUCAUUCAAAUAUUUGUAUUCAAAUCCAUUCAAAUUUUAGAAAAAUUCAUAUUUAUUCAUAUUUCUUUUUAAAAAAACUAUUUAACUGUAAAAUAAAAUAUAAAUUUUAGAAAUGGAACAUAAAACUUGUAAACAUAAAGUUAAAUAAGUAAAAUAAUAUAAAAUGGAUAAAUUUAUUGAUUACUGUAAACAAAAUGAAAAAUAUACAAAUAUAACAUAAAAUUAGUAAAUCAUCAUUAACUGAAAAAUAAAAUAUAAAUUUUGUAAAGGGAAUGUAAGACUUAUAAAUAAAAGAUAACAUAAGUAAAUUAAUGUAUUACCGAUAAAUAAGACAAAAACUUGUAAAUAUGAUAUAAAACUAAUAAAUCAAUAUUAAGUGCAAAAUAAAACAUAAAUUUUAAAAAUGGAGUAGAAGACUUGUAAAUAGAAAGUAAAAUAAGUAAAUUAAUAUAAAAUUAGUAAAUUGAUGAUUUGAUAUAUUAUUGAUAAACAAAAGAAAAGCUUACAAAUAUAAUAUAAAACUAGUAAAUCAAUAGAAGUGCAAAAUAAAAUACAAAUUUUGAAAAUGUAAAAUAAGACACAAAUAAAAAAUAAAAUAAGUAAAACAAUAUAAGAGUGGCAAAUUGGUUUCUUACUAUUAAGCAAAAUAAAAACUUAUAAAAAUCAACAUCAAGUGUAAAAUAAAAUAUAAAUUUUAUAUAUUGCACCUAAAAUUUGUUAAUGAAAGGUAAAAUAAGUAAAUUGAUGCAAGAGUUAUUCAAAAAAAAAAAAAGAAUGCAAAUUGAAAAUAAAAACUCAUUAUAAUAUUGAUUACCAUAUAUAUUUAUUGAUUUUGUAUUUAAAUUGAAUAAUAAUAGUUUUGGAUUUAUAUAAUAUGCAUAAUGUUUUAUUAAGGAUAGAAUAUAUUUUCAAAUUUGAAUUUUAAAAACCUAUUCUUUUAAUGUUUUGUAAAGCUUUUGUAAGAUUAGAUGAUUAUAUAUUCUUCUACAUUUCCUCAACAACAACCUAAAAUAGUCUUUGAGUACAAGUAAGGAGCAAAAUUUAAAACUACACAAAAUAUGCAAAAGACUCAAAAUUAGAUCUAAUUUAAUUGAUAUAUCAUAUAUGUGUUUAGUAAUAUAAGAAUAGAGUGAUGAUACAGCCACAAACUCUUAUACAAACUUAUCUUGUACAAAUUGAUUUGACAUUAAUUCAUUUGUUGAAUAAAAAUACAAAAUUAUAAAAACAGAUCAUGUGGGCCAAGAGAUAUUUAAUUCAACCAAUUUUAUCAUGCCACAUUAGUUUGUACAAAAUAAAUUUAUACAAGAAUUUGUUACUAUAUUAUUACUCUUUUAGUUUUAGUUACUUAAGGUAAAUGAAUAAACUAUUUUUCACUAUAACUUUAUAGAAACACUGCUAAUUGUUUUAAUAAUUAAAAAUUUAUAUAUUUUACUUUCUAUUUACUAAUUUUAUGUAUAAUUUAUAAAAUUUAUAUUUAUCAUGGAUAAAUCUGUGGUGCAACUGUGGUACCGUGCCACAGUUGCACCCAACCGUUGGAUUCCCACUUAUUCAAGUGGACCCUACUCAUUUGAGUGGAUCCAACGGCUGGUGCAACUAUGGCACGGUACCACAGUUGCAAUGUAGCCUGACCCAUUUAUCAUACUUGUGAUAUCGUAAUUUUAACCACAUUAUAGAAUUUGCAUUGUGGGUGCUUCUUUUUCUGUCAAAAACGUUCAACAUUAUAAGGGAAUCUUCAAAGCUAAAAUAGGAAACUAUACAAUAUUGGCUUGGCGAUGAAAAAAAAAAAAAUUGUAAAUACGGUUAGAAAUAAUUUUAUCAAAAUAUUGGGACGUGGGGUCCUUGAAAAUAAAAAUACAAUUAAUUAUCAAAUUGCAAUCUUCCACGAUCGCAACCAUUCAUUCCACUUUCAUUGAACUUCGAUAUGUUUUUGAAGCUUUGCUUCUGACUCCACACCAUUCAAUUACAAGAAAAAAAUGAAAAAAACAAGACUAGUAACAAAACUUGAAAAUUCGGCAAUUGAUAUGACACGACACGAUGAUUGAUUCAGCCAGCGUGCAAUGUACAUACAUUGAUCAUAUCAUAGAAUCUGGCACGUCACUGCAGUCUUCACUCCCACCGUGUGAUUUCCAGAGAAUCCGACGCGAUCUUGAUAAUCAUGAACCAUACAACAAGGAACACAAGGUUGGUUUUAAUAAAAUUUGUUUAUAUUUAUUAAUUAUAAAUGCAAGCAGCAGCAGCAUCAUUUGAGUUGAGUUUUUGGUUUUGGAGGGUGGUUAGCUGAUUCCGUGAAGCAAGGGACCAUCAAUGCCUCGUCGUUUUGCUCACCCGCCAAAAUUUACCCGCCAACUACAAGACUGAGGCCCAGUGGGACCCACGAAUGGGGAAGAAGAAGCAGUCAGCCAACCGCGCACUCUCUCUUUUCCCGCUUUUAUAUUAAAUUCUUGUUGAAUGGGCCUCGUACCGACCACCACGGCAUCUCUGCUCAUUCGUAUUGCACAAUGAUUCUUGGUUUAGUAAUCCUAAUUUUUUUUUUUCUAUUUUGUAUUUUAUUUUGGGUCACCAUUUGUUGCUGGUUUAUUUCAACCGUUUUAAGUUUGGGAAGCGUCCGCCGGUGUGAUUAAAAAAAAAUAAAAAAAUAAAUCAAAACUCACAAGAGAUAAAAAAAAAAAAAAAAAAGCAACCAAUCAGUUGGAUUGAAUUCAUAACUCGUUUUUUGAGUAAAGAUCAAUUGGAAAUUUUUCUCAAGACUGAUUGGGUUGAUUCGGUUUGAUCUUUAUAACCUCUCGCUUAAUGUUUGUUUGACUUUAUAAUUCGGGUUUCACAGAUUAAAUGCAUUAGUAUUUUUUUUUUUUUGACCUGCUUGGUAGGUUAGCGAAACUCAUUUUAUGGUGUCAUCCAAAGUUCAUUUGUCCGGUCUAACGGCCCAACAUUCCGCUUAAAAACCAGGAAACUGAGAAUGCUUACAAGAGUAAAGCCGGUUGAGACGGCAGACGGGGACUGUUUGUCAUUAGAAGAAUUUAUGCUGAACGGGACUAUAUAUUAUGAUAAAAGUUUUUUUAUUACUUCACAUAAUUGUUAAUAAUUUAGUCUCUUUUUUUUUUUAAUUAGGUGAUAAUUUAGUUUUUUAUUUUUCCAAAAAAAAAGGUUGCUAAAAUUUUCCCUUAAAUAAUAAAUACGACAGGGAAGAUAAAGGAGGUAAAUUAAGCGUAAUAAAUUUUCAAGAGUAAAAAACAAAAAGAAAAUCGAGAAUGUUGGUAACGGAUGGUGAAGGAGUGCAGGUUACAUGAAACAACAGUUAUCAAGCAGAAAUCAAGAAACCAAAACAAAAACCGCUCGUUUUUUCGUCUCCAAUUGUGGGCUCCACUCCCACACUGUUAAACUUAAACCGGACGUUUUACACGUUACAAAAUCCAACCCACUGCACCGCAAGCAAUUUCACUUUCACAUUUAACACAAUAACACUCACUUGGUGCUGUUCCGUUGUUCUUAAACUGGAAUUUAUCAACAAACAAAUAAAUUAAUUCAUUAAUAGAUAAUACAACCCAUUAACCAAAAGCAAACAAAAACAAAAAGAAACCACAUCAGUUUGCGUAACCCCAACUUAAGUGUCUGUCCGCAGUAUCACCACCACCGAUUCAUUCAUUCAUUUCCUUUCAAUAAUUUACCCCCACUCCCACAGCACCUUCUCUCUGUCUCCUCUUUUUUUUUUUUUUUCUUUUUCCUCCUCUCACUCAUUUAAGGAUUCAUUUACGUUACCAUUCAGCCUCUUCCGCUUCAUUUUCGUAUGACUUUUAGAUCCUAGAUGAUCGCUUGCUCUUUCUGAUUGCAUUUUCAGGUGUUUGUUCUCAACUGGGUUUUCUCUUUUGGGCUCUCUUUUGUUUUGUUUAUUGAUUUUUGUUCUGUUUAGAUGAUCAAAAAAGAUUUUUUUUUUCUCUCUGGGUUUCAUCUUGUUUUUGUUUGUGAUGAUACUGCAGGAUCUUGGGCAGUGGUUGUUUUCUUGAAGUGAAUCAAAUAGUCUGCGUCUUGCACAGGUAGAAGGCUGUUCUUUUAUGUUCUUAUUUGAUGCUUGUCUUCAUGAUGCGGGUUAAUCUCUGCUCUUGAUCUAUUAGCUUUUAGUGAUUCUUUUUGCUUUCUACUAUCUCGGUUUUUUCUUUAUAAUUGGUCAAAUAUGAUUUUUUUUUUUUUUUGGAUUCUUGAUAAUCUCUUAUCAUCUUGAUGUGAUGACGACCAUAAUUGUUUAUAUAAAAAAUUAGAAAAAUAAAUUUUUGGUUACAAUCCAUGUAUCCCUGUUCAUUUCCCCUGCACCAACAUCUUAAGUUGGUUAUCUGGGUUUUCAGAUGCUUAUGUUUCUUAAUCUCCAGGUUGAAUGUUUCUUUUGAUUAUAAUCACCUUUCUCUUUUCAAGUUUCCAAAACAUUUAUGAUUAUUUGUAUUUUUUCUGCCUUGCAUGGUUUGCAUUUACUAUUUAUACUGAAUAUCUAUCUGUUUGGCAGUCCCGUAUGUGGGUUUUAAUGAUCUAAAUAGAUUUAUGUCACUUUCUCCUUUUGUUUCAGUUUACCUAAAUGCUCUAAAAGUUGUAACGUACUGAUGAUAAUUUUUGAUGUUCUGCUACCAUCUUUGGAGUGGUCUUUAAAGGCCGAUAAUUUUUAACUAAAUACGGGCUUGUGUGCAUUCAUGUGCUUCCCAGAAUUGAUUGAUUUAUCAUGUGAUGUUUUGUAUGAAUAUAUUGUGAAUAACAUGAAAGUUAAAUUGUGUUUAAUUCAUUGAGAAUCGAUGGGAGUCUAUGCUGCAAUUAGAAUGUAGUCCGUCCUCAUUUUGUUGACACAUGCUAAUAACUAAAUGCUUUGAUUCAUAAGCUUAUGCCAUAUUUUGUCGGUUACAUUGUGCGCAUACUGCAAGAAUAUUCUAAACUGGUAUUCAAAUUGCCUGCCCUCACCUUAUUAUGAAUCUUGUAUCCUGUGUUUUCUGCUUCUGAAAUACUGAAACUUAUUAAUAAUCCUUCUAAGAUUUUUGUAGAAAGUUGUUUGCGUUUUAAUGAGAUGUGAGUUAUUGUUUUCCAGUUAUAUGAACUAAGUUUCCUAUGGGAGCAGAGUUCCAUAAAUAUGUGUUUUCAUAAACUUCUAAUGUCAUAGCUAGAUGUCUUUCAUGUUAACCAAAAAACUAAAAUUUGUCAUCUUUUACCUUGAAUUUCGCUAGCACAGGCAUUCCCCAGAAGUUUCCCUGAUCCUGCUGUAACUUACACUUCAAUUUUUAUGCAGGUGAAUAUAGCGACCUUUCUAACUGCUGUAUAUUUAGCAUAAUUAGCCCUAUCAUUGUAAAAUGUUGGGAGGCAAUAAUGGCAAUCCUGUUGUUCCAGUUUUCCUGGAUGAGAAUAGUUUUCAGUAUCAGACUAAUGCAUCAAAUCAGCUGCAGUUGUUUGGAAACUGUAAGCCCAUUUCUCAUUGAAUUAACAUAUUCAUUUUUUCCAUUUGUUUGCUUCAUUAUUUUCCUUUAUAUUUUUCUAUUGAGUACUUUGCCCCAUUCCUUUUCUUCCUUUGAAAGCUGUUUUACUUGCAAAAAGAAAAUGAAUUGCGAAAAUUAAAUCUCUCGGAGAGUUGGACGUUUAGUUGUUUUGGACUGAUUGUAAUGUCCAAUCCUUGUUUCAGUACCGGCUGGGUGUAGCAUUGAUCCUGUCAAUUAUUUUGGGAAUGAGCAUAUCCAUCCUAUGCUUCGGCCCAACAAACGUGGCAGGGAAACAGAAGAUUUCUCAAGGCAGCAAAAGCUGCAGAUCUCUUUGAAUUCAAACAUCUGUCAAGAUGAAGCCGAUCGCUCAGCAAGCAUUCUGAAUCCCAAUCCUGUAUCUACAGGGUUAAGGCUAUCCUAUGAUGAUGAUGAACGCAACUCAUCUGUAACUUCUGCAAGUGGAAGUAUGACUGCAGCACCACCAAUCAUCUUGUCCCUUGCUGAUAAUGUUAGGACUGAGCUUGAUCGGCAGAAAGAAGAAUUUGAUCAAUAUAUCAAAGUUCAGGUACCUAUGGUCUCUAAGCGUAGCUACAGUUGCUUUUCCAGGACAUGCCAUUGCUUUACGUCUAUAUCAAAUUUGUUCUCUGUACAUUUUUUCUUGGUAUGUAUCAAAUGAUCUGAUGCUUGAUUAUGCACCAUCUGAAACCUAGGAUUCCAGGAUUCCUGAGAUGACUAGGACUGGUAGAAUCUUCUCCAUUUCCAUACACCAUAGGAUGUUGAACUCAGUGAUCAUCUAAUUGCAUAUUUGUUUAUUAUAAUGACAUAUUGGUAUCGUUAGAGUCUUCAAAUUCAUCUUCAUCUUUAUUACUCUUUUUGAACAGGAAGAAUACUUGGCAAAGGGGGUUCAGGACAUGAAGCAGAGACACAUGGCUUCAUUCCUUUCAGCUAUUGAAAAAGGUCUCGCCAAAAAACUGCAGGAGAAGGACAUGGAGAUAGAAAACAUGAACCGGAAGAACAGGGAACUGAUUGAGAGAAUAAAGCAAAUGGCUGCUGAAGCUCAGAAUUGGCACUACAGGGCUAAGUACAAUGAGUCUGUUGUUAAUUUACUUAAGAGCAACCUGCAGCAGGCAAUUUCACAGGGUGCUGACCAAGGGAAGGAAGGAUUUGGAGACAGUGAAGUUGACGAUGCUGCCUCAUACAUCAACACUAACAACUAUCUGACCGUUCCAAGUGGGCCUGGAAAAUCCAUCUCCCGGAAUCAUCAGAUGAUCUGCAGAGCAUGCAAGGCAAAGGAGGCCUCUGUCUUGUUGAUGCCCUGUAGGCAUCUGUGUUUAUGUAAAGAUUGUGAUGUGUUAGUUGCCGUUUGUCCAGUAUGCCAGUUUGUGAAAAAUGCUAGUGUCCUGGUGCACCUGUCCUAAACUGUGAAGCAAAUUAUCCAAAAAUGAAAAGUUACCUGCGCCCUUCCUGUGUGAUAGUUGGGGUUUUCUUUGUUGAAAUCUUGAAUUUUAUGUUCAGUAAUCAACCAUUGCCAAAAAGAUGGAAUUGCAUAAUUUUCUUUGGUGUAUGCCAUCACACUUUAGCUUUGAUUUUGCAUAUUGUCAGAAGGUAAGAUUUUGGGCUUUGCUUAAAUGUUUGCUUAGGUCACCAUUCGGUCCUAUUCUUUCCAUCUGACGGAUAUAAGAAGUGCUCAUUUUCAUUGUGCAAUUUAGUUGCUUUUGUGUGUGUAAACUCACACUCAAAAGUCUUUGGUGUAUGCCAUCACACUUUAGCUUUGAUUUUGCAUAUUGUCAGAAGGUAAGAUUUUGCGCGUUGCUUAAAUGUUUGCUUAGGUCACCAUUCGGUCCUACUCUUUCCAUGUGACGGAUAUAAGAAGUGCUCAUUUUCAUUGUGCAAUUUAGUUGCUUUUGUGUGUGUAAACUCACACUCAAAAGUCUUAACACUUCCUGCAGUGGCGACUAGUUUACUCUGUCUCUUGUUAGCCAUUAACCAAACAGCCAUUCAAAUUCAGAAAAACAAGCAAACUUUAUAUUGAUCAAACUUUGUUAAUGCAUUCAGGGUCCUUUUCCAAAUACUAAUAAAAGAAUAAGAUUUAUAUUGAUCAAGGUUACAUGCUACACAUUGUUGGACAUUGUUUCAACAAAGGACAAUAAGCAUGAAAUUUUCACAUGGAUUCAACACUAAAAAGAAAAAGGAAAAAAAUUAAAAGAAUAAAAAUCUGUGGUCACCAAAAAUUAAGAUCUGAUGGCCACAGUUUACAGGCGCCAGGCGAAGUGAUGUGCCAUUGACCAGAAGGAGGAGCAACAUAAUGAUUGUUACAAAAGGUGAAACUGAAAAACCCAAUUGGUGCAUCCAGCUGAGUUUCUCCAUUCCCCAAAAUUUAUUAGAUUCUUCUUCUAUUGUCAAUUCUUGGUUUCUUUGAUGCUGGUCCAGCUUGUAGAUGCUCAGUACUAGAUUCAAUCUAAAAGAAGAAGAGAGAAGAUAGAGAAUAAAUUUUUUAGAACAGUAGCUAAUUUCUAGGAAGGAAAAUGAAGCCACAAAGGCUUAUCACCUUAUUGAGCUUCUCCCUCACCAAUCGAACUGUCUGAUUCAUUGAUUGAGAUGCAAAAUAAUCCUGGGAUGGAAUUACAGUAGAAUACAAAAUUGUUAGUCCGGGGAAAUCAGCCAUCUAUCAACUUCCAGUCUUCCACCACUUUGCACGAUAAAGUUCAAAUAUUUAACAAGAACAUGUCAAGUAAUAUUAAAACUAUACUGUGCCUAAUAAAUACCCACAAAUGAUCCAAAUGACUAUGUUUCUAUAAGACAUGAACAUUGAGCAAAACAUUUAACGUAAAGGUGAGAAACCCUAAAUGGAGGAAUAAUUUUUUAUUGUCUAACAAAUGCCUGAAAAUAUCAAACUAAAAUUAGGUGGAAUUUAGCAGGGAUUAAGCAUUAGAGAGUACAAUUAACCCGCCCUGAUUGAAGAUCAGUAUGCUGCUUCUCUUAUGCUUUCAUUGCAUAGACAUUUCAAUUGUAGUUCUUCACAAUAUUCUUAAGGGAACAAUGGUGACUAAGACACAAUACUGAGAUCCCAAAAAAAAAAAAAAAUGACAUUGCAUAUAAGGUACUCAAGAUUAGCAACCAUGCACCUGAUGGUGAACUUAACAAUUUGACCCAAGUCAACCCACUUGGGUUUAGUAACAGUAAAGUGGAACUGAAUUGUGCACUGAAUUUUUAAGUUCAGGCUUAUGCUGGCAAUUACCAAAAUCACAACCCCAAGUUCCUAAGUGCGACCAUGAGUAAUUGCUACGUCGACUUAUGAAAGAUACAGAAGCUAUUGGUUGUAUUGCACACUGAUUCUGCUUUCAAAAAGGUAUGGCAAGGAAAGGAAAAAAGAUUAGUAACAUGCCUUGUCAGAGGAAACCCUUGUGAUGGGAGACUCGUUAACAUGAGAAAUGUGUUGUGAUUCACUGGAGGCCCUACAGAGAGGAAAGACAAUCAGAUGUACUAUCACAACAAUAAAUUUAUAUGGCUUUAUUAAAAUGAAAAAAAAUAAAAAUAAAUUUGAACAACCUUUGCCAAGAAGUGAUCUGCUCAGAUACCAGGUUAGGUUGCACGGGAGCUGUGACCAAUGAUGGUUCGCCUAAAUCAACUGAACUAUGAAUGUUAGGCACUUUUGAUCUUCCAGCUGACAUAAAUAAAUUAUAAAACGUGAGCUACAAAUCAGCACAAGCAAUUAAUUUUAACACAAAUAUUCCCAUCACAUGCCUCACACAUAAUAGCAAGUAAAAAGAAAAAAGAAAAGUGCUCACAAUUCAAUCUGGCUAGAACUUCCUUUCUUCUAGUUUCCAACUUAUCUUUGGUAUCAGCAAGACUCUCAAACUGAGAAGCAUAUGAAACCUUCAGUCUAUUGCCAAGGAAAACAAACUCGUCCAACUUUCGUUUCGCAAAUCUACCCAGUUUCUCAAGGCAAACACGAAUAUUCAAAAUCAGAAACACGGAUUAAUGAACCUACAACAUGAAUUAUAAAAGUUCAGAAUCAAAUUAAUUAUAAAUUCACCUGGCAUUGCUGAACAGGCGAAAUUUGAUAAAAUAAACAUCAGUAAAUGGAUCACAGUCUUCUGCAUCCAUUGGUUUACACCUAAAAUAAUAAUAAUAAUAAUAAUUAGUUAACCUAACCUAAAAAGUUGUCGCAAUUGUACACAAAAAUAAAGAGACAAAAGAUAGGUUACAAGCUUACUUACUCUUCGAUGUCUCCAUAAGUAGCGAACAAUUUCAACAAAUCAUCGCCGCAACCUAAAGACGGAACGUUCCUAACAAUCAAGUACCUGAAGUAAUAAAAACUAAGAGUGAAUUCAAACAAAGAAAUCAUCGAAACUGAUCUUGGUUCUUUGAGAGCAAGAUGAAGACCUAGAUUCGUCGCAGACGGUGUAUACGCGAACUCCAGGGGGCUCGUCUUUGUAUCGAGGCAUGCUCUGCUUCCAAACCCUAGCAAUGAAAUGUAGCCGUUGUUCUCCGUUACAAAUUAUAAUAAACCAGUAUUCACUGCGGCCAGUAGGAAUGCCAACUUGUAAGAUUUUGGCGCCUUUUUUGUUUUUUCCCCCCCUUUUCACACUGUAAAACUCGUUGCUCAAACCAUCACCAUGAUAGAUCACAAACUUUUAUUUUUUAUCUUUUCAUGAAAUGGUAAUAUCUAUAUAUAUUUUCUAAUUUUAAAGUUAAUAUCGCGUAAAACAAAUGGGGGGUUUGAUUAAAAAAACCCAAUACAUAAUUUGGUAUUUCACUUUCACCAAAAUUAAAGCACAGCAAAUAAUUUAAUGCCACGUGUCGGAGUAAGCAGAAUAGUGGUCAAUCAGAUAAUGAGGAAUCUCACCGCUGCCAGAUUGGCGGCGGGCGUUAUCUAAUUGAGAAUCCGAAUAAGACAAAACCGUGGUGGUUUUCGUGCUAAAUAAAUGCGGGAAGGCGUUUCGUUAACGCUUCCUUGUAAUAUCCAAUAAGAGAGACGGAAAGGAAACUUUCCCUCUUGCACUUGCUGCCGCACCAUAGCCGGCGGAAUUCCCAGGUACUUAUCCAAUCCAAUCCUAAUUGCUUUCAAUUCCAAGUAACGACUAAACAAUUAAAAUAGUCAGAAUCUAUUUAAAAGAUGCAAAAUUCUUUCUUUUUCUUUUUCUUUUUUUCCUUUUGAUUUUGAUGAAGAUUCAGCUUUUUUUUUUUCUGCUAAAAGAAUCAAACUUAUUGAAUAACUUGGUUUUAUGGUUCAUGUAAUGAUUGAUUGAGGAAUAUUAAAAUUGAAACAAAUGGAGUUUCUAUUUCAUGCUUACGUUUUCCUUUAAAUUCUUGAUGAUAGCCUCUGUUUGACUUCUAGAUAGAAUAAAAGGUGCCCUUAGGAAGGGUAGUGAGGGAGAAGAAAGAUCUUUUGACUUCAAAAUGUGGUGACUACUGGUGAGGCAGGGAAUUUUUCUUCUUCUUCUUCCCUUUUUUUUUUGGAAAAAAAAAAAGAAAGUAAACCUUUCAUUGAAUUAGCAAGAGAACAGAUACAACACAUCAGCUGGAAAUUCAUCCAACCAUACGACAGAUUCUAUUUUUCUUAAGGCUAGUUCAGCUAAAGAAUAGCUAUGGUGUUACAUUAUCUAGUAAUGUGUUGAGCUUUGACCUUUAGAAAAGAUUUUUACGGUGUUGCUAAUUUGAAGAAGGUACUCUAUCUAACUGGGUCAAUAAUGCUACCAUCUCUUUGAGGGAUCAUUGUCAAAUUCACUCCCCUCUGUUUGAAUAGACUCUCUGUUAGCUGCUCUUUCUUCCUCUUGCAUGUCAAUUGUCAUCGAAUUCUUCCCUUAUUAUUAUUUUUAUUUUUUUUUGGUUUUUUUUGUGUGUGCGCGCACGCCUGCACUUGGGGUGAGGGUUUACAGGGUCACUGCAUUGUGCAAAAAAAACAAAAAAUUUUAUGAGACUGUUUCUUUUAAUCAUCCUUCUCAGCUAGGGACUAGUUUUUAGUUUUGUUCUUUAUCUGAGGGUUAGUUCUCAAAGUUUUGUAUUCAGCAGUCUUGACAAACUUGUACCUGGAGAAUGGCUGCUUCUGUGUGUUGUACAGGAAACAUAGUAAUAGUUCUUUCUUGCUUUAUUUUGUUGUUUUCAGAAGGUUGGGGUUCAGUGCAUUGCAUAGGGAAGAUCUACCAGCAGUGUCACCUUGAAAAUUGGGAACUGCAUCCUUCUGCAAAGUAAGGAGAUGGGAUCUGAAGGGCCAAAGGCUGUAACCAUACAUAUAAAUGGAUUUAAGAAGUUUCAAGGGAUUGCUGAAAACCCUACAGAGACUGUAGUUAACAAUCUAAAGGCUUAUGUUGAAAGAAGAGGACUGCCAGCUGGUGUUACUUUAGGCAGUUGCACUGUUCUGGAGGCAGCUGGAGAUGGUGCACUUCCCACACUUUUAAAGACCUUGGAAUCGAGCAUAUCUCAAACAAAUUCAAACAAUGAACAAGUCAUCUGGGUUAGCUUUGUUCUGCAACUUCAUUUAGUUUUAAAAAUUGCUAAUAUUUUGGAAUUUAUAUGUAAUAUAGGAGAGGAAAUUCUCACACAUUUUUUUUCUUUUGAAUGGUUAAUUAGUUUACUAAGAGCAGCCAUGUUUAGGCCUGUGAAUUGUGACACCAACUCUACAACACGGCUGUUGAAGCCUAAUUCAAAAGGAAAUAAGAAUCCAUGAGACUUCUCAGGAUGCCUCACUAUCGCUCAGUUUUGAGGCUGACCAGAAAAUUUCGUGCAAAUUGAACAUAGAAAAGCCCGGCGAACUUUUAAAAAUUAUAUUAGUAGAUGCUUUGUGCAUAGUCUAAAUAUAAGGGUAGUCGUAUCUCUUAAAUUUCUAGUUGUUUUUAGUCAAUCAUUGCUUCACUUCUUUUUUUUACCCCCUCCUUCUUUGCAUUUGCUUUGUUAUUACUGGUUGCUCCUUUUCAUUCUCUUUUUUUCACUAUAGUCGACCUUCAACUGUUGCUGUUGUCUGUCUACUUUAUGUUUUUGGUAUAUUGGCUGCUUGUAUCCUCUGGGACUUGGCUUUAAAGCAUUUCACUCUCAUUGGGAGGCGCUGGGCCCCACAGGCUAGCUCCCCAAUGUGAGGUGCGCAACAACGUGCUCUAGAUCAAUUGCAUUGAAUUCAUAUAUGUAAUAAAAUUGCCGAUCACAAAAAUGUCAGUCCACGAAUUCACCUUUUCAUUUUUGGAUUAAAUAGUGUGUCUAAGAAGACUUAAAUUUUGUUGCUUUUUCAGAUUCAUGUGGGGGUAAAUAGUGGGUCAUCAAAGUUUGCCUUAGAGCGGCGAGCAGUGAAUGAAGCCACGUUCCUUUGUCCAGACCAACUGGGAUGGCAACCUCAGGUAAAUUUGUUUUGUCUUCCAUCAAAAUAGCAAUUCUCUUAAACUCUUUUGGCCAAGAUCCUUAACCUUUUUUCCUUCCUGGAUUACAUUGUUUGCAAAGGAGCCAUUUCAAUUACUCCAUUCCCUCUGUGGAAAAUGGAGGCUAUAACUUAUACAGUAGCCUUCUGAAUCCAGAAUAUAUGUAUGUUUUUAUACCUUUCAUAUAUUCCUAAUGUGAAGUAAAUCCCUUAACAUGAAAAAAUGUAAAACACUUCUGGAACUUGAAUAUAAAAUUGCCUUUCAUAGUUUUUUACACUGAAUUUUCUUUUGCUUUUUCCAGCAAAUUCCAGUAGUCCUUGAGGAUGGAGGAAUUUCCCGAUCAAGACAGGUAAUCUGAGAGCACCCUUCCUCCACUCUCCUCUCCAAUUUCCAUGUAUGAGAUUAGGAGUUUUCUUUUUUAUUUUUUUUUUGGGAUUUAUAGUAUCAAUAACCUUAUCACUUACCGUUAGACAUAAGUAUGUGACAUUUUGAAUUCUCUGUUCUUUCUCUGGCUCUCUCCUCGUUUGUUUAACAUUUUCAUCUUCUGUUUCUUGAAGACAUCUCUAUCCACUGAAGCAAUCCUGAAGUUCUUGAAGAAGAAGGGCUUUGAUGUAGUUAUAUCUGACGAUGCAGGCCGUUUCGUUUGCAAUUAUGUCUAUUACCACUCACUUCGGUUUGCAGAGCAGAAGGGUCACAAGUCUCUGUUUGUCCAUGUUCCUCUCUUCUCAACAAUUGAUGAAGACACUCAGAUGCAAUUCGUAGCCACACUCUUCGAGGCCGUUGCAUCAACAUGUUGAAUAUAUGAUUAUUUGAAUUUCCAUCUGUUUUCUCUUGUGUUGUUGGUGUGUAAUGAAACAACUGUAUCAAUAUGAUUAUGAAAUAAUAAUUUGCUUUACGUCCACCUGCCUAGGACUGACUUCUUGUUAGAGAGAUGAGCACUCACGGAGUAGUUAUCUUUGCCAUGGGACUAAACGUCUUGUUUAUAUGGAGAUAGUUUAAUGGGGGGAGGAUGUUGAUUGUUUUCAGUUUGUUCAUUUAUUUUUCAUGACCUUGUUCUGUUUUUCGUUUUAUAGAAUAUUAUGAGGUGCUGGUGUGAUUUUGUUUGUUUUGGCCGACCAGCUCGGAGUUGCCUUGAAGAAAAAGAAUGGAAAAUAUAUAUAUAUAUAUACAGAGUGUACUCUGUAAUGAGCUAUUUAAUAGUGUUAAUAUGAUUAUGAGCUGAUUUGAAAACAUUUUCACAAGCUCCCAAGACGGACAUAUAGAGUAUUCCUUCAUUUGUGCUUUAAGAGCUUAAUGUUAAGCGCUAAAUUACUGCCUCGUGUCCGUACCAUAACAACCUUGGCACCAACGUGCACGUCAAUAGUUCCGCUAAGCUCCUCUCUGCUACUAGAUUCAUACUGUCAACCCAAUCCUCAGCUGAAUAUAUACUCCAGUAACCGUACAAUCGAUGAUUUCGUAAAGUCUGGGCAUUUAAACUCUGCUAAAAAA